UGGGACUUCUCCCGUUCUCCAAGAACUCUCGAAGAUAAUUGCCAGUGGUUCUGAAAUAACUUCCGCUAGUUCCUUCAGUACUCUUGGAUGUAGCUGGUCUGGCCCUGGGGACUUGAAUUCGUUUAGAGUGGCCAGGUGUUCCUGGACAACUUGUUUCCCUAUUUGGGGUUGGAUUUCCCCCAAUCCUUCGUCCAUUCCAUGUUGCUGAGGUUGAAGAUGGCUUUCUUUUUGUGAGAGGACCGAGGCAAGUCUUGGGCUGAGUGGGUUGCUAGGAGACCAAGUGGGCAGAGCUUAACCUUCUAACUGGCAGCAAUUGGAUAAAAACAAUUAUUCCUCUCCCUCUAAUUAGGACUUUAUUUUUCUUUUCUUUUUGUUGUAUGAACGUAGAGGCAUGGAUGAGGAGUUGUGCUGCCAAGUUUAGUGUUUCUGGGAUGUGUAGUUUUGUUGUUUUGUCCUAGGCCGAAAUUUCAUUACCUUUUUAUAUAUAUAGAUGUGGACAUGAGAUGGUUCAAACUUAAGCAAAUGAGCAAAGCUGACAUGGUGUUGUGAAUGCACCUUCGGAGACUGUGAAUGAUAGUGGUGGGAUCAGGAGAGGAAGGAAGAACCCUCACGAGGAGGGCUUGUUGGAGGAUUUGCUCAGGAAAAGGGUCAGGGAGACUGAUGGGGAGUCUUCUGAGGAGGAUUCAUGUGGGGAUCUUGAGGUGGAAAUGGAUGCUGGGGAACAGGUAUUAACAGAGGAAUUGGGCACGGACUGGGCACAGGCACCAGAGAUGCUUGGGGAUGAAUCGGGGCCUAUGGAUGCUGCUGAUGCUGGGGAAGCUUGGGUGUCUUCAGAAGCAGAUCCCACUUGGUCUGCUUGGAGGAGUGAGAGUAGGUCCACAGGUGUGGAUAGAGUUGGGCGUGGAACUCCAAUGAAGAAUUCGGGACGCCUGACCCAAGGGCGUUGGCUGUGUGGAGUUCUGAUUCAGAUUAAGAAGUUGGGAUACCUGUUCCUGGGCAUGAGUAGUUUGGAUGCCCAGGGAGACCUGGAUAUAUUGGGGUUGUUUGGCCACUAUACUUUGCAUGUGGCAAGGUGUUGCUGGGCGCCAUUGGGUUUCCUGUGUGUGUGUUACUGAAGACUGGACUGGGACUUUGCAAUGAAUGUAAGUUUAAUCCGGGUUAUUCUGCAACGGAGGGCUGGAAUUGUGUGGACUGCACUGUUAUUACUAUUUUGCAUUAGCUGCUGUUCGCCCUCGUUGUGCCAUUUCGUGUUCGCUCUCUGUGCCAUUUCGUCUUGUGACCUUCUUGGAUGACUUCAACCUCUCGGACCUUGGACCUUGGACUGGAACUUGACUCUUCGUUCUCAAACUGCGGUUUGGCGUCGUUCUCAAUUCCGUGGCUGUCUGACUACUGCCUUCAUUCCUGACGUGGAUGCUGACUGCUUAUCCUGACUUCGGACUGGCUUGAUGACGUUUUCCCGCUCUGCCCCUUUAAUUUCUGGCUUGGUGUUUGCUUCUGCAGCGGCUUGACGCUGCUAGCUUAUCUCGACUUCGGACCGGCUUGACGACGUUUCCCUGCUCUGUGCCUUUAACUUCUGGUUUGGAGUGUGCUCCAGCAGCAGUUUGCUGUAGCUUGCCAGUGUCUCGCUCUCCCACUUAUUUUGCUGCACGCGACUGAGAGUUCGCCAGAACGGUUUGGGCGUUUGUUUGUUUUUGAACUCCUUUUGAACCUUUAAGUUUUUAGAAGAGCUUGUGGGCUUCGAUACUGCUUGCUUUAGCUUUUGCCUCCAUUGCUUAGCCCAUUUUGCUUAAUAAAACUGAAAGUUAAGUGUUUUAAGACUUUUUGUGUUUGUUGAGCUAUUUUUUGGAAAAUUGUUUAAAUAAACUCUGGUUUGCUCUCUAACUGGCAUCUGACUUUUGACACAUGGACUAAAAAUAGAUUGCUUUGUUUUUUCUUAGGUCAGAGAUGGCAUAAAACAGAGGUGGCAGUGGGGUCAUUUUUCAUAAGUAUUCUGGUCACAUACUGAGGACAGGGUUGGCUCUGGCCAAGCAUACAUUUUCCACAUGCUUUGUUUCCCCUAAAGACAACCCCCUCCCAGUAAUCUGUAUGCAAGUAGGUAAACAAUGAUGAUAACAUAUGAACAGAAUCUCUAGUUUGACCACUCAGAAAGCAAAUGGAAUUAUGGCUGCCACUUAGUGAGGUAGGUGACUUCCCCUGUAAGAAAAAAGCUUUUUUAUUUAUUAUCCAUCCUAAUUUAUGCAUCUUAGACCAGGAUAUACAAUCAUAGAAUCAUUGAGUUGGAAGAGACCUUGUGGCCAUCCAGCCCAACCCUCUGCCAAGAAGCAGGAAAAUCGCAUUCAAAAGAAUUAAAAGAAUCCAACACAAACUAUUUUCAAAUUUUCAAUAUUGCAGUGAUAUUUUACUUGAUCAAGAUUUAAACUGAUCCAAGAUUGUUAUUCCAGAUUUUUUAAAGUUAAAUAUAUUCACAUGGUUUUACAAGCUGUAUGUGUAAGUUUGUGGUAGAUACAUUCUUUGGCCUAGAUGGGGAAUUAUGAAUGUUCUUAAAGAAAAGUAAUGGGAAUUUGGGAAGAGGGGGACCAAUAGUCUGCUUGAGGUUACAUUUACAGUGGAAAUACAAAUUUACAUUGCUAUGUAAUAAGUUCCUUCUGAAUCUGAAACCUUAGUUCAGGGGAUAGGGAAACCUGUACAUUUCACUUAUAUUAUUAGCAUUUUUCAAAUGUUGGUAAAUUCUAAUUAAAAAUUGCUAUAAGAUUGCAAUCCAACUUAUGUAGGAACAGAGUUAGUUUCUCCUUCUUCCAGUCUUUGGCAGAAUUUAUUUGGAAAAUUUUGGUAAAUUCUGAUCAAAACGUAACUAAUAAAAUUCCCUGUUGCUACCUGUUUCCAAUCACUGAGGAUCUCUGAGCAAUACAAACACAGCUUUUAUUUUAUGGGCUUGAAUUAGAUGUAAAAACAUUUCCAACAUGAAUAAAAAGCAAUAUCCACAGUGUUAUUUAUACACAAAACUGAUUGAUGUAUGUGACCAAAUGCUAGUGCUCAGAGAGGAAAAAAGACAUUUUAAGUCACCUUGCUUCAUGGUAGUUGUUCACAUUCUUUUACUUUAAAAAAACCUAACCAUUUAUGUUAACAGAGAAGUAUCUUUCUUGUGUGUAUAUUACCACCAUGUUAGAUGUGGCAACUAGUUUGUUUGUUGUGUUAUUGUUGUUUUUUAUUACUCCACUUGGAUUGAGUACUAAAGUGGCUAUUGUCAGGUUUUCUUAACAAAAACCAUUCAGAAGAGGGUUGUCUUUACCUUCCUCUGAGGGUGAGAGAGCAGCUUGCCAAAUUCUCCCAUGGACUUACAUGGCCAAACAGAGUUUUGAAUCCUGGUCUCCAAAAUCAUAAUCAAACCAUUAGAUGACAAUGGAUUUCAACUAAUUUGUACACUGAAAAAACACCUGAAAGCUAUUGUUUGUCUUUUCUCUAUAUUCUAUUAAAUAUAUUGCUAUUCAGUUGAGAAAAGAGGAUGAAUCCUAAUUGAGCUAGCUGCUAAAAGAUCAUUUACAACCUAAUUUUGCCCCUGGGAAAUAAGUAGUUCCCACUGAUCAACACCAAAUCUCCAUACUUGUGGAAUAUUACCUAUCAAAGUGCUUACCUUUUAUAAAUACAAAAUGAUGGAAGAGUGAUAAUGGUUCUACCAUGUUUGCUAAUGAUAUCUUAAGUAUGCAUCAAAUAGAGACACUAGUAGCAGAUAACUUCACUGAAAUUAAGUAAAAGAUGCAGAUGUGUUGGCCCAAGACUUAAAGACAUGAAUAAAAGAUCUUCUGAAUUUUUAGAGUGUUAAAUUUUAUAAUUUUCUGUCUGGGAGCCAAUGCAAACCAUAUAUUUUAUGGCUAUAUUUUAAUCGACCUCCAACGUUUCUAACAAUUUCUGAUCGUUUCUAUCGACUUGUAAAGUCCGAGGAGUUCCCAGCCCCCAUCAGUGUGCUUCAAUUGUAAGGGAUUAUGGGAAUUGUAGUAUUUGGGCCAAAACUUCCUGACCCGUGUUGUAAAGUAAGCCUGCAUAACCUAUGGCUCUCCAGGUGUCUGGGAUUCCAACUCCCAGAAGUCCUAGCCAGCUUCUCCAAUGUUCAAGAAUUCUGGCAGCUGAAGUCCAACAUCUGGAGGGUCACAGGUUGUGCAGGCCUGCUGUAAAGUAUCAAAAAGGGGGAAACAAAUUCCUGUUUACUUUUGUAUUAAGGACUAUUAUAUUUUUAAGAUGUUCCUUCAAGUAAAACGCAUGUAAGACUGUGAAGAGUUACUUGCUACCUUUGCAGGCAAAUAACAUAGUGAAGGGGAAAUACAAAGAUGGUAGAUGAAUGAAAGGUCUAAACUUCCUUGUGCAGUGCUAAACCUCCUGUGACCAUAAUAUGAUCUGGUGCAGCCUGUGGAUGUUUUUGCCAGAAAAUAGAGUCACCAGAUAUCAUCAUGCUUCUUUAUUAUAUAUAAGUGUCUUCUUUUCUUCCUUUAUCCCCUGUGACAGACCCAUCACCAUGGUCACUAAGUAUUGCACUAACAUUAGGAAGGAAAUAUUUAUAAGAAAAAAGAAAGUUAGGUUUAUUCUUCUUUCCUUCCUUUCAACUACAGGUUGUGUAUCCAUUAUCAGAGGCUCAGCAGGCUCCUAAAGCCCCAUCACCCUCCCCACCUUAUGUUGAUUUAUGUAGGUACCAAUGACACCGCUAGGCAUACUUUUCAAAAGAUCACAAAUGAUUUUCGAGCUCUGGGAACAAAGCUAAAACUGUAUAAUGUACAUGUGAUCUUUUCAUCCCUCCUCCCCGUUGUAGGAUACGGCUCUACAAGGGCCGGAAAAAUAGUACAGGUCAAUAACUGGCUCAGAAAAUGGUGCCAAGAGGAGCAUUUUGGCUUCCUUGACCAUGGUCUACUCUUCCAGGAGGAUGGCCUAUUCGCAAGUGAUGGGGUGCAUCUCACACAAGCAGGAAAACAUCUUUUUGCGCACAGACUCACAAACCUCAUCAGGCGCACUUUAAACUAGAUCCACUGGAGGAGGGGAACAACAGCCUGGCGAACACUAUAUUACCCACGACCACAGGGAACCGCCAAAAGGUUAAACGGAGGGCUGCACAAACACAGCAAGGACCAAGUACAGAGAGCACAAUAAUCCCAAAUAAACAGCUCAAGGGGAGGUCACAGGGGCUUACAUGUCUUUACACCAACGCUCAGAGCAUGGGAAAUAAGCAAGACGAACUACAACUCUUAGCACAGCACCACACAUACGAUGUCAUAGGCAUCACUGAAACCUGGUGGGAUGACUCCCAUCACUGGAAUGUAGCCAUUGAGGGCUAUAACCUCUUUCACAGAAACAGAACAAAAGGGAGAGGAGGGGGAGUAGCUUUAUAUGUCAAAAACAGUUACGUUGCAGAAGAAAUGCAAGACUGUAAUCCGGGAAACCAGCUUGAAAGCAUCUGGAUAAGAAUCAAGGGAACCGGGACUCAAAAAGAUCUUGUCGUGGGUGUCUACUACAGACCUCCGAGUCAGGAUGAAGGACUUCAUGAAGCCUUCUGUCAACAGCUGACCAAACAGGCACAAAGAAGAGAUAUAGUAGUCAUGGGCGAUUUCAAUUAUUCCGAUAUCUGCUGGAAAACAAACUCAGCCAAGAGUACAAAGUCCAACAAAUUCCUCACUUGCCUUGCAGACAAUUUUAUGGUCCAGAAGGUAGAAGAGGCAACAAGAGGAUCAGCAACUCUUGAUCUAAUCUUAACAAAUGUGGAAGACCUGAUCAAUACAGUUGAAGUGGUUGGAUCCUUAGGGGCAAGUGACCAUGUGCUCCUGGAGUUUGCAAUACAAAGGAAUGCUGAAACUAAGACAAGUCAAACACGCAUUCUCGACUUUAAGAGAGCUGACUUCCAAAAAAUGAAGGAAUUACUGAGCGGCAUUCCAUGGACGCCAAUAUUAAAAAACAAGGGAGUUAAGGAUGGAUGGGAGUUUUUCAAAAGUGAAAUACUCAAGGCGCAAAUGCAAACAGUGCCAACAAAGAAGAAAAAUAAGACAAGUGCAAAGAAGCCAGAAUGGAUGUCCAAAGAACUUCUAACUGAGCUAAAGCUCAAAAGUGUCAUGCACAAGAAGUGGAAAAGGGGAGAAAUCACCAAAGAAGAAUUCAAACGUAUAGCCAACACCUGUAGGGAAAAGGUUCGCAAGGCUAAAGCACAAAAUGAGCUCAGGCUGGCCAGGGACAUAAAAAACAACAAAAAAGGCUUUUUUGCUUACGUUGGUAGAAAAAGGAAGAAAAAGGAGGCGAUAGGGCCUCUGCAAGGAGAAGAUGGGGUGAUGGCGACAGGGGACAGGGAAAAGGCAGAACUGCUCAAUGCCUUCUUUGCCUCGGUCUUCUCACAAAAAGAAAGCCAUCUUCAACCUCAGCAACAUGGAAUGGACGAAGGAUUGGGGGAAAUCCAACCCCAAAUAGGGAAACAAGCUGUCCAGGAACACCUGGCCUCUCUAAACGAAUUCAAGUCCCCAGGGCCAGAUCAGCUACAUCCAAGAGUAUUGAAGGAAUUAGCGGAAGUUAUUUCAGAACCACUAGCAAUUAUCUUCGAGAGUUCUUGGAGAACGGGAGAAGUCCCAACAGAUUGGAGGAGGGCGAAUGUGGUCCCUAUCUUCAAGAAGGGAAAAAAGAACGGCCCAAACAAUUACCGUCCGGUCAGCCUCACAUCGAUACCAGGCAAGAUUCUGGAAAAGAUCAUCAAGUAAGUGGUCUGCAAACACUUAGAAACAAAUGCGGUCAUUGCUAAUAGUCAACACGGAUUUACCAAAAACAAGUCAUGCCAGACUAAUCUGAUCUCUUUUUUCGAUAGAGUUACGAGUUGGGUCGAUACAGGGAAUGCUAUGGAUGUAGCGUACCUGGAUUUCAGUAAGGCCUUCGACAAAGUCCCCCACGACCUUCUGGCAAAUAAACUAGUAAAAUGUGGGCUAGACAAAACUACGGUUAGGUGGAUCUGCAAUUGGCUAAGCGAACGAACCCAAAGGGUGCUCACCAAUGCAUCAUCUUCAUCAUGGAAAGAAGUCACGAGUGGAGUGCCGCAGGGCUCCGUCCUGGGCCUGGUUCUGUUCAACAUCUUUAUUAACGACUUAGAUGAAGGGUUAGAAGGCACGAUCAUCAAGUUUGCAGAUGACACAAAACUGGGAGGGAUAGCCAACACUCCAGAAGACAGGAACAGAAUUCAAAACGAUCUUGACAGACUAGAGAGAUGGGCCGAAACUAACAAAAUGAAGUUCAACAGGGACAAAUGCAAGAUACUUCACUUCGGCAGAAAAAAUGGAAAUCAAAGAUACAGAAUGGGGGACGCCUGGCUUGACAGCAGUGUGUGCGAAAAAGACCUUGGAGUCCUCGUGGACAACAAGUUAAACAUGAGCCAACAAUGUGAUGCAGCAGCUAAAAAAGCCAACGGGAUUCUGGCCUGCAUCAAUAGGGGUAUAGCGUCUAGAUCCAGGGAAGUCAUGCUCCCCCUCUAUUCUGCCUUGGUCAGACCACACCUGGAAUACUGUGUCCAAUUCUGGGCACCACAGUUGAAAGGAGAUGUUGACAAGCUGGAAAGCGUCCAGAGGAGGGCGACUAAAAUGAUUGAGGGUCUGGAGAACAAGCCCUAUGAGGAGCGGCUUAAAGAGCUUGGCAUGUUUAGCCUGCAGAAGAGAAGGCUGAGAGGAGACAUGAUAGCCAUGUACAAAUACGUGAAGGGAAGUCAUAGGGAGGAGGGAGCAAGCUUGUUUUCUGCUGCCCUGCAGACUAGGACACGGAACAAUGGCUUCAAACUACAGGAAAGGAGAUUCCACCAGAACUUCCUCACUGUGAGGGCUGUUCGACAGUGGAACUCUCUCCCCCGGGCUGUGGUGGAGGCUCCUUCCUUGGAGGCUUUUAAACAGAGGCUGGAUGGCCAUCUGUCGGGGGUGCUUUGAAUGCGAUUUCCUGCUUCUUGGCAGGGGGUUGGACUGGAUGGUCCAUGAGGUCUCUUCCAACUCUACUAUUCUAUGAUUCUAUGAUUCAGCAAUCUGAAAUAAUCCAAAAUUGUUUCUGAAGGAUGGCUGAGAUAGUGACAUUUUUGCUUUCUAAUGGGUCAGUUACAAAUAUUGUGAAUAAGAUUAUGACUAAACAUGAAAUGCAGUGGUGUUUUAUAAUGUUUAUAUGAUGCACAAAUGAAUUUCAUGUUUAGUAUAAACAAAUAUUGCAAGCAUCCCCAAAACCUGAAACCUUAAGCACUUCUUGGUCCAAGCAUUUCGGAUAAAGGAUACUAUACCUGUACUAUAAGUACAAAAAUGACUUAACUAAUUCUAAGCAAUUCCUUUGUUAGUGUUACUGGCUUUUUAAACUAUGGGAACAAAUACAGUACUGAGUAAAAGCUAUUGUCUGGAUAAUGUCCCCUCAAUUUACUUAAAGGUGUAUUUGAGGAGUGAUUUAUUACUUGAGAAUAAAAUUAUGUUUAAAAAUAAAAAGGGGGGGGGGAUACAAAGUUUUAAAAAGCAACAGUAAAAAAGCAACUACUGCAUUAUAUUGACCAGAUGAGGAAGUGUACUGUCCAAAAUGUUCAGUGUUACCCUUCAUCUCCCAACCUCCAAUGAAAGUUUAGCAAAAUACAAACUUUUCAAGAAAACCCUGGGAUUAUAGUUUUGUCAGCCUUCACAUUUUGCACAGUGAUGAGGUUAUCAAUAAUGCAUCAACGAGCUUAGGAAUCUUGUCUACAAGGGAAAUCACAGCUGGCCUGGGUUUAUUGUGAAACUUGUAGAAUUGAGUAGAGAGGUCAACUCAGUGGGUUGUCACACAAUCAAACACAGCUGGAAAAAUGGGAAAGCAGGAUGGGAAGGGGUGCCAUUUCAUUGGGAGCAACAGAACAAAUAAUUUGUAGAUUCAUUCUUUUGUCAGUAACAUAGCCCUUCACAAUGGGCAUAGCUAAUGUUGUUUAUAUUGACUUCUUGGCCUCUUCCAAUGAAAAUGUUUUGCUUUUUUUCCUGACAAUUUUAUUCACAAGCAAACAGCUUGUCUGCUAGGCUUAAUGUACCUGGCUAGGGUGAUAGCCAAGAGUUAUACAGAAGGAAGAAUAAGUGAGUGUGAGAAUGCAAAGUUAUCUCAUGUUUCAUUUUAUUGAUCUACAUCUGGUGUCAUUCAAUUAAAAGAAAAGUGAUGGAUAGGCAACAUAGAUUCCCACUUUGCUCAUCAGCCACUCCAGAUAAAGCAGUUUUAAAAUGAUGAGUACAGGGAGGGGAUGACACAGGAAGACAGAUCAAAGAUACUAUGUGAUCUGAAUUAGAAAUUAAAGAUAUUAAAAAACAAUCCUGAAGAUAUCUGCUGAGAUUGCAUUACUCUUUGUCUUGCCAGUGCUCAUCAACAAUAUAAGCAAACACAGUGUGGUCAAUGAAGUUUAAUUAAACAGGAUACCUGUUUAGACAAGAGCCUCUGGCUAGAAUAUGUCUCUGUGUGUGUGUGUGUGUGUAUACACAUACCUUCAAACUGACUGUUGACUUAUGGUGACCCCAUGAAAAUUUCAUCGGGUAUGUUUUGGCAGGGAAAAUUCAGUGAUAAUUUUGCCAAUUCCUUUUCCUGAAAUACAGCCAGAUUUUCAUUGGCGGUCUCCUGUUUAAGGGCUAACCAGACUGACCUUGUUUAGCUUCCAAGAUCAGAUAGGAUCUGAUGUAUAUAUAUGUGUGUGUAUGUGUGUGUGUGUGUGUAUCUCCUUUAUUUACUCCCUACAGUAAGUAUGGGGAGUAAAUAGAGGAUUUAAACUUUAAAAAUAAUCUAAAAAGAAAAUUAGCUGACUGAAAUGUCUUUGAUUUCAAUAAGGCUAUUCUGCUUUAUGUCAUGUUUAGUUUUGGCCCAGUAACAAUGUACCUGUUUGUAGAUAUGCUUUUCAGUUGCCACCGGUGGCGCAGUGGGUUAAACCCUUGUGUCAGCAGGACUGCUGACUGACAGGUCGGCAGUCCAAAUCUGGGGAGAGCUGGUGAGCUCCCUUUGUCAGCUCCAGCUCCCCAUAUGGGGACAUGAGAGAAGCUUCCCACAAGAUGAUAAAAAUAUCAAAACAUCCGGGCAUCCCCUAGGCAACGUCCUUGCAGACAGCCAAUUCUCUCACACCAGAAGUGACUUGCACUUUCUCAAGUCACUUCUGACAUGAAAAAGUUGCUGUUCAGAUACUAUUUUUCCCAUUUUGAUUAUUGCUUUUUUUCAAGCUAAUAAAGAUAUUUAAAAAUAGCUUGAAUUUCUAGAGAUAUCAACCUGAUUUCUUCAUUUUCCAUGCAGAGAAACAGUAUUUUCUAGCUCCCAUGUGAUUGGGGCAAUACUUUUGCUCAGAAUUUUAGUCUGGUCUUUAAAUGAACUAUCCAAUGUGUGGAGCCUAUUUUGUCGAUAAUAUUCAACCCUUGAAUAGGUCCUUUAAAAUUCAGACAGACCCCUUUCUGACUCAGGUGCCACCAGCCACCCCUGCAUAGAACUUAUAUGUAGAAAAGGAUAAAUAGGAUUGUGGUUUUGCUUCAACAGUGUAGUUGCACAUGGUACAUGUCCAAUCCUACAAUAUCUGCAUACUUUCUCCGGGUGCUGGCAGAGGAAUGCUUUUGAGAGUUGGACAAACAAGCUUAUUUCUGGUCUGUGUCACUUUCUGUUUCAUAGUUCAAUUCCACUUUUCAAAUUGGUUCACUCAUAAAUCUGUUGAUUUAGGGACCCAGAAACAAAUCAUUAAAAGAAAGAAUCCAUGAGAGACAUCAAAGAUUUGAAGUGUAGUUUGAGGAUGCUGUUAUUGAAAUGAUUCUCAACAUUGACAGUCUUUCACCAGACUCUGAGUAUGAAGCACUAUACAAAUAUGGCAAUAGUCUAUUAGUAGUCCCAACUACAUUAGAGAGUAGACUAUGCAUUCAUGGCAAAACCCCUAAUAGGUCAACUGUAUAAUCUCUCAUAUGAAUAAAUGAAUAUCAAUGAUCCUAGUUCAGAGUCAGUGUGUAACAACUGGCCAUGAAAACCCAUUGUGUGUCCUUGGGCAAAUCACACUAACCCAGUCUCAGAGGAAGUCAAAGGCCAAGAAAACUAAGUGAUAGAUUUGCUGAAGGGUCAGAAAUAAUUUGCAAACAUGCAACAACAGUGACCUUAGAGGUGGAGAUUAGAAGCCAAAGUAAAAAAGCUAGGUGAGGGCCAGCUAUAUGAUGGAAGAGUUUGGAAAGGUGCAGAAAAAGAGUAUUAAAUACUCUAUGUUCUACCGGUAACUAAAAAUAGAAAUUAACAUGUUUGGGCAACAGAAUAUAGAAUACAUUUUAUUUCAUUUCAAUUUGUAAAAUCUUAAUGUAAUUUGAUGUUUAAUAGGCUUUUCCUUAAUCCCUCCAUAUUAUCAAACAUUUUCGCUUAUCCAACGCUUUUAUUUUUCAGUGAUUGGUUUGGGGAGGGGCGCCAAAAUUCUGUUUGCCUACACUUGAAAAAUACCUAGGGCUGGCUCUGUGUGUGAGUGUGAGUGUGUGUGUGAGUGUGUGUGUGUGUGUGUGGGGGGGGGGGGGUAAUAGCCAUUUUGGUUUCUCAAUCCUUGUCGGUGGGAGAACUGAAGGUCAAUACUUCCAAAUCUCAGUUAAGAUUUUAGGAUUGGAUCAGAAUCAAUCUGGACUGAAGCAGAGUUGGACCCAAAUUGCUGGCCUGCACUUUAAUUCAAAUUUUGGAGAAGGGAGAAAACUUGACUUAUUCUAAAUUAAACAGUUCCUUUACCAAUAUGUGUAUAGUUUGCUGUUCUGUGAUCAUAUAUUAAGAGCAUAGACUUGAAGAAGAUCAGUAAAAAUGCGAUGGGAAUUCCUGCAAUGACCUAACAUUUUAUCUGUGGAAUUCACUUACAUUUCUUAGACAUAGUAGGAGCUGUUUGUAUAUGUUGAAAGUGUUACAGAUUUGUUUUCUUGAGUUAUUCUGUAAUAAAAAGCAGAAAGUAAACUCACACAAACAUUAUUCAAACAAAGCCAAGAUAACACUAGUAAACCUCCUUAAAAGGGAUUUAUGAAUGAUGAAAAGCUCUGUGAAAAUACCCAAACAAUUGUGGUUCUUUUAUUACUAACUGAACAGAAUGUGUCAAAUCUUUGGUCAAACUCCUGUUUUCUUGAUUUUAACCAUUUAUCUUUGUUGAAAUAAUUUUCUCCUUCAAUUCUCUACUUAAAUUAGCCCUUCCCAAGCUGAUCACAAUUAGAUAGGUAUUAUUAUUGUUAUUGUUAUAUGUAUUUAUAACCCACUUUAUCUCCCCAAAGGGGACUCAAAGUGACUUGACAUAAAAUAUACAAAUAAACAAAAAUUAAAACAGAAUUAAACACAAACAGCAGUAAAAAAAAUUCAGAUAAAAUUCAUCAAAACAUAUUCAAAGUUAAAAACCACAACACCCCCUGACUAGAUCUUAAAUACCUUCAUCUUUAAAUUAAUAAAAAAGGUUUUAGCCAGAAAGACAGCAGGGAGGGGCCAUUCUGGCUUCCCUGGGCAGGGAGGUCCAGAGUCAUGGGUCAGCCACCGAGAAGACCUGCUCUCUCGUUCUCACCAACCAAGUUUGAGAUGGAGGUGGGACUGAGAGAAAGGUCUCUCCUGAAGAUCUCAGGGCCUGGAAAGGUUCGUACAAGGGAGUGCAGUCAGCCAAAUAGCCUGGAACUGAACCAUCUAGGGCUUUAAAGUUCAUAACCAUUACUUUGAAUUGUGCCCAGAAACAGACUUGUAGCCAGUUAAGCUCCUGCAACAGAAGGUUGUCUGCUCCCUGUAGCCAGUUCCAGUGAGCAACCUGGCUGCAGCUCUUUGAACCAUCUGAAGUUUCUGAGCAGUCUUUAGAGACAGCCCCACAUAGAGUGUAUUACAGUAAUCCAGACGGGAUGUAACUAGUAGGCUAGAGCAAAUUUUUCGUUAUUUCGUUAAAUUCAUUAAAAAUUCGUUUCGUAAGCACUUUUGAAUUGAUAUUGAACCAUCUGCUCACUGCCCUUACAAAUAUUACGAAUUUGAAUAAUAAAAGUACCUUUUUUCGUUUGUUUCUGAUGUCUUCGGAUGAAGCUGUAGCCCCUCUGAGAGGAGAAGCCAUGUUGGCAUGCCUCUCAGCCAAUCAGAGCGGAAGAGGGAGGGAGGGAGAGGCAUGGCCAUCGAUCUGCUAGCAUUUAAAAAAAAAUGUUGCUUCAAAAAUCCCCAAAAAUCAGUGGAUGGGUCAAACAUUAUGAAACUUGAUAGGCAAAGAGUACUUAAUUUUUGCUUCCAUUCUGGCAAAUUUCAUCAUAAUAGCUUUCAUAAUGCAGGAGAACGAAGCCUCUGAAUAUUGACCAUUAAUGAAGCAAUUCGCCAUAACGAGAGAGAAAACUCCAUUUCCCAGAAGCCUUAGCAAGCCAAUCAAAGUGGAAGGAAGAAGGACAGGGAGGCGUGGCCAUCGAUCUGCUAACAUUUUAAAAAAAUGUUGCUUCAGAAAUCCCCAAAAAUCAGUGGAUGGGUCAAACAUUAUGAAACUUGAUAGGCUAAGAGUACUUAAUUUUUGCUUCCAUUCUGGCAAAUUUCAUCAUAAUAGCUUUCAAAAUGCAGGAGAACGAAGCCUCUGAAUAUUGACCAUUUAUAAAAGCAUUGGGCUGAAGCAAACGUUUCCCCAAUAGUACUAUGCCCACUUGCAAACUACAAUUCCCAGGUGUUCCAGGCCCUCUCUCCUCUUAACAUUCCCCACCCCCUUUUGUCCUCACUUAGAAUCAUAGCGUCAUUGAACAGUAGAGUUGGAAGAGACCUCGUGGGUCAUCCAGCCCAACCCCUUCUGCCAGGCAGGAAGACACCAUCCAAUCCCUCCCAACAGAUGGCCAUCCAGCCUCUGCUUAAAAGCCUCCAAAGAAGAAACCUCCACCACAGCCCGGGGAGAGAGUUCCACAGCUGAACAGCUCACAGUGAGGAAGUUCUUCCUAAUGUUCAGGUGAAAUCUCCUUUCCUGUAGUUUAAAGCCAUUGUUCAGUGUCCUAGUCUGCAGGGCAGCAGAAAACAAGCUUGCUCCCUCCUCUCUAUGACUUCCCCUCACAUAUUAUACAUCAUGUCUCCUCUCAGCCUUCUUUUCUGCAGGCUAAACAUGCCCAGUUCUUCAAGCCACUCCUCAUAGGGCUUAUUCUCCAGACCCUAGAUCAUUUUAGUUGCCCUCCUCUGACCAUCUUGACCAAACUUUCAUACAGUAUGUGAAUUCUUGGAAGGUAUGAGAAGUUUAGAGAGAAGGAGGGAGGAAGAGGUUUGAAUUUUGGACUCCAAUUGUGGCUUGAUUCCCCACUCUGCCACCCACUUGGGCAAGUCACACACUCUCAGCCCAGAAAAGCCAAUGAAACAGGAAAUAGCACUUUCAAACCAGGAACUAAUUUCCUUAUUCAGAGGCUGAUGGCCAUCUGUCAGGAAGGAUUUGAUGGUGUACUAUGAUUUCUGUUCCUGGGUGAUAAAUGUCAUUUCCUAAUUGGUUCUGUCAUAGAAACAUGGCAAAAUCUAUGACACUGCCUGAACUUUGUGCAAGCGACAUGGAUGGAACAUAUUAUGGUUUGGUCCACCAAUUUAACAAAGUUUCAGCCACAAAAACAAAGUUUCUGAAGUAGAACAAUGACUUUCACAGUAAAGACAACCCAAUGAAACAGGAAAUAAGACUUUCAAACCAGGAACAGAUUUCUGCAAUUAUUAAAAAAUGGUUUAUUAUAAAAGCUAUGAAAAUUCGCCAAAAAUCAGAGGAUAAGGGAAACGUUCCAAAUUUUGGUGAGCUAUCAGUGUUAAAUGUUUUCUACCACUGUACCAAGUUUGAAGAAGAUCACUCAAAAAAUGAGGGCGGGAGAGUCCUGUAAAAUCUCCCCUCGUGCUGUUUUUUUUGGCCACUGCGCAUGCGCGUCCGCCAUUAACGAAUUAAUUUAGAAAAUAACGAAUUUUCAUUAAUUUUGAAUUUUUGGGGGGCAAAAUUCGGAAAUGACAUCAGAAACGAAACGCUGGCGCCCCCUACUUUUGAAACGAGUUUAGAAUCAAUUUUUUCAUGGAUCGCUCAAGCCUAGUAACUAAAGCAUAUGCCACCAUGUCCAGAUCUGGCUUCUCAAGCAAUGGGUGCAGUUGGUGUACAAGUUUUAAUUGUACAAAGGCCUUUCUGGCUACCGCAGAUACCUGGGCCUCCAAGUUUAACACUGAGUCCAGAAGGACCCCCAAAAUGUGGACCUCUCUCUUCAGGGGGAGUGUGACCCCAUCAGCAUAGGCUGGAUUCUGAUUCCCUGGUCUGCCUUCAGACUGACCAGGAGUACCUCUGUCUUGCCUGGAUUAAGUUUCAAUUUGUUUACCCUCAUCCAGUCCAUCUACCAAGUGUGUAACUCUAGAGGAAUCGGUUUUUUUGGCCUGCUAGAAUUGCAAUGAAUAGCCUCGCUGCUUCAAAGCCUAGCUGCUUGCUAUCUAGCGGAAUCAUUGGUUGGUCAGCUUCAAUAGUACAGAAUAGUAUCACUGCUUCAAAGCCUGGCCACCUUCUACCAAGGUUAAUCCUUUGUUGGUCUGGUUGAAUUACACUAAAUAGCCUUGCAGCUUCAAUGCCUGGCUGUGUUAUAGCUAGGUGAAUCCUUGUUUGGUGCGCUGGAGUAGCACCCUCAAUCAAAGAGCCACUUUGAAGCCUGGCUACUUCCUUUGUAGGAGAAUCAUUAUUUGGCCAGCUUGAAUUGCACUGAAUAGUCUUGCUGCUUGCAAGUCUGACUACUUUCUACCUUGUGGAAUCCUUGGUUGCCCAGGUUGAAUAGUAAUUAAUAGUCUUGGUGCAGCAAGUAUGAAUGCUGCAAUUGGUCACCUUGAUUAGCAUUUAAUGGCCUUGCAGCUUCAAAGUCUGGAUACUUCCUGCCUGGGGGAAUCCUUUGUUGGGAGGUGUUAGCUGGCCCUGACUGUUUCCUGUCUGGAAUUUCCUGUUUUCAGAGUGUUGUUCUUUAUUUACUGUCCUGAUUUUAGAUAUUAUAUUGUUCUGUAUUAUUAUACCACAGUAAAUAUUAUAUAUUAUAUUUAUAAUCUUAUAUCAUCUUCUUAGAACUGGAUUAUAUGAGGCCCCUUCUACACAGCUGUAUAAAAUCCAGACUGAACUGGGUUUUAUGGCAGUGUGGACUCAAGAUAAUCCAGUUGAAAGUGGAUACUGUGGAUUAUGUGCCUUGGCAUUCUGAGUUAUAUAGCUGUUUGGGAGGGACUUGAGUCUACACUGCCAUAUAAUCCAGUUCAAUCAAAUAAUCUGUAUUUUAUAAGCAGUGUGGAUGAGGCCUAAGUGCACUCUGCCUGUGCCCUGGGUGGCAUUUUGGCUGAGGGAAUUGCUAGGAUACGAAGUUGGCAGGGCCUAAAGGGGGCGGCGCCUACUGUUGUGAGCUGUUUCUAAAGGGGUAAAACAGCUCUUUCUCGUAGUCUAAUUUGGGCUUUAUUUUUCUAGGUUUUUUAUUUGAAAGACAUAGACUGGAUGACUAUGUUUUUGUGGCCAAAUUGGUGUGAUUUGGUUGAGUGGUUUUGCUGUUUACUCCAUAGUAAAACAGCACAUUACAUUUAUAUAUAUAUACUAGCUGUGCCCAGCCGCACAUUGCUAUGGCAUUGUCUGGUGGUGUUGGUGAGAACUUGUUGAGGUAGUGGUGGUAUUGAAUGUCUGUUGUAUGGUUGUCUUUAUGUUUAGUAUGCAUUUGGUUGUUUGUGUACUGUGAAAGUGGUGAGGGUAGAGGGGGGUCUAUGUCCCUGUGUAGUAUUGUAUAGUAUUUCUACGUUGUCCAUGUGUUGUGAAUGCUUGGGUUGUGUCCUGCUGUAUAGUAGAAAGGGUUGGGCUGGAUGGCCCUUAGGGGUCUCUCCAAACUCUUGGAUUCUAUGCUUCUAUUAUCAUCAUCAUCAUCAUCUUCAUCAUCAUCAUUAUUAUGUAGAGGCUGGAUGGCCAUCUGUCAGGAGUGCUUGGAUUGUGUCCUCCUGCAUGGAAGAAGGAAGUUGAUCUGGAUAAUCCUUAGGGAUCACUCCAAACCUUAGGAUUGUAUGAUGAUGUUGUUGUUAUUAUUGUUGUUAUUAUUAGUAUUAGUAUGAGAGGCUGGGUGGCCAUCUGUUGGGAGUGCUUGGAUUGUGUCCUGCAUGGCAGAAUUGGGUUGGAUUGGAUGGUCUUUAGGAGUGUCUCCUAACUGUCUGAUUGUAUGAUUCGAUAUGUAUUAUUAUUGUGCAGAUCUUCAAUGGCCAUCUGUCAGGAGUGGUUGGAUUGUGUCCUCCUGCAUGAUAUAAGGAAGUUGAACUGGAUGAUCCUUAGGGGUAACUGCUAACCUUAGGAUUUUAUGAUAUUCUUAUUCUUAUUCUUAUUGAGAGGCUGGCUGGCCAUCUGUUGGGAGUGCUUGGAUUGUAUCAUCCAAUGGCAGAGUUGGGUUGGACUGGAUGGCCUUUAGGGGUCUCUUUUAACUGUCUGAUUGUAUGAUUCGAUUUGUAUUAUUACUGUGCAGAUCUUCAAUGGCCAUCUGUCAGGAGUGCUUGGUUUGUGUCGUCCUGCAUGGUAGAAGGAAGUUGAACUGAAUGAUCCUUAGGGGUGUCUCCUAACCUUAUGAUUGUUUAUUUCCCAUGCUCUGGGCAUUAGUUUAAAAACAUCUAAACCUGUGGGACAUUCCCUUUAGCUGUUUAUUUGAGAUUAUUGUCCCCUUGCUGCUUGGUACUUGUUGUGUUUGUAUUAGUAUUAGUAUGUGUGGUGAACUGUAUGUAGAGUUUUCUCCAAAUAUAAUAACUCUAAAUCAGUGACACUUUAAAUAGGAAGUAGUUCAUUAUGGCUUGCAUUUCAAUAAAAACCAUAUCUUCUCUUCACACAAUUUGUAUUUAAUAAUAUUUAUUUUGAUUGGAUUAUAUUCCAACCAACAUAAAAACAAUUAUUUUGCACAAAACCAUAAAAUCACAACAUAUGCAGAAGUCCAUUUCUAAAGCACCCUUUGCGAGGCAUUCACUUAACUUCUCUUUACAGCCCUCCAAAGGUCUAUGAUUGAAGAAAGGCCAUCAAGUGUGUAGCUAGGCUCUCUUUUCUUGUAAUUUUAAUCCAUCGAAUUCUACUUUCUAUAGUAACAAAAAGAAAUUAAUUCCACUCAGUACAUGAGAGUCUAUAGAAUAUUUAAAAAUAUUACCUUGCAAUCCUACCCAACUUCCCCAGCCACUCCUAGUAGGGCCUGGUUUCUAUAUCAUCACCCUUUUUUGACACAUCCCAGGUUCUCAAUAUCCUUCUUUCAAAAUGUGGUCCUUGAAAAUAUGGUGUAACCAAAAUAACACCACAGAGAACACCAACUAUCUGCAAAGUGAAAAAAAGAAUGUGGUUCCUUCCAUUUUUAUCAGUGUAUAGAAGCAGAGUACAGUGUUCCCACUUUUUGCGGGGGUUAGGUUCCAGGCCGGCCCGCGAAAAGUGAAAAACCAUGAAAUAGCGGCACUCUAUUUAUUUCAAUAAAUAUUGCCGCCCUCCCUCUCUCCCUCCUCCUUUUCCUCUUUUAAUGUACUGUACUGUCUUCCUUGUUGUUCCUGAGGCAAUGAGGCACAGGCAGGGCAUAUUGGUGCUGCCUGCAGGCGGCUGAGGAGGAAGCACGGGCCAGGUCACGUGUCUCACGUGGGUCCUUUUGUGCCUGCGAGGGGAGGGCGGGCCGGAUGGGAAAAUCCUCGAAACAGUGAAUCCGUGGAACGCAAACCACGAAUUAGUGAGGGAGGACUGUAUAUCAUUUGCCAGUAACAAAAGUAGCACCAUACUAAGUCUAAAAAGGACUCAGAAGCAUAGGGCUAAAUAUAAGUGUCAUUAUUUGGUAGAAUGAAACUAUUAAAUUCAGUGGAAAUUAGAUAAGCAAAUCCUCAGUGAUUCAAUGUGUGUACUUUAGUUGGACCUAAAAACUAAAAAUGCAAUCAAUGUGUAUUGGUUUUUACUGGUAUUACAUGUUUUACCCCUUUCAGUGAUGCAAAGACUGGUACAAGAUGUCACAAAAGUGUUUACAAGUUUCACUGUCUCUGCAGAAGUGUUAAGUGUCACAUUUAUGACAUCACUGUGAGAUAAGUUACAAUAGCAAAGUUGGGAUAUCUGGCAACUGGACACUGUAGUUACAGUUUGGACAAUGGAUUACUUUGUUAAAAUCUGAAAACAGAUACCAAAGUUGAAUAAGUGAAAGUAGUAGUUAAAAUUUAACCCUAAGAUGUGGGGUUAUAGAUCAAGAAGAAAUAUCACUCCUUAAGAUCAGCUGCUAGAUUUAGACAUACCAUUAGACAAAGUGAGGCAACUCCUUCAGAUAGAAUAUUCUGGCAGCCAGGAACAGAAAAAAUUCUGUACAAUCCACUCAGACUACCUUGCAAAUCCUCUGUCCCAGAUACAGUGGAAUAUACUUUUCUAUUUGCCAGGGCUGAAGUAAAGUUUGGUGGCCAGACUUAACUAGCCUCUGCUUGUGGAAGAGGGGACAUUUUGUCUUUCUCUGUAGGCAGCAAAGUGUCAUGGGUAUGGUCCCUGGUUAAUGACGAUCUCAGGCCAUGAAAUGUUAUGGUCAAAAUCUGAGAGACCCCAUGUAGCAUCACAGGAAGUGGGCUUUUGUGAUGUUACAAGGAUAGUGUUAUAUAAGGGUAGCCACUGAUGAUAUCAUUAAUUGAGCAUUAAGAAAGGCUGCAUACAUUACACUAUUGAAAUAAAAAAUUCGAAGGACUAAUAACUGAUACAAUCUAUUUGCAGAUAUUUCAAAGCAGUUCUGUUACCCUGAGAUUACUCCCCUUGUCCUGGAAAGGGCAGAUUCUGAAAUCUGAAGCCUUGUCUUGGAUCAGUCUUGCAUCAGAUGGAUUAGAAUAAUACUUAAUGAAGAUCAGCCUUAUCACCUCAAACUAACACGCAUUUCUUUCUUCUUUAUUAUAAAAAAGUUCUAUUAAUACAGAAAACUCUGCAUAUAUGGUUAUAUUAUAAUGAAAGAAGUGAAUCAAGAGUUGAAACAUUCUGGUUUUCUUAAGUAUUACUGCUGUCAUGCUGGUAAGUAGGAAAACAAAUAGGCUCAGGAGUGCUGGAAAAACACCCAAACAGUGCUGCUGUGGGCAAAGGAAGCAUGGCAAGUAAACACAGCUGAAAAGGAGGAAAAGACUAUUUACUUUUGAUUAUUUAUGAUUAGCAUUCAAGAUCUCUGGCUACCCUGAAAAUGUUUUACAGAAAAGAUGGAUUUCUGCCAUUUCACAAAUGGAGGGCCUGCUGGGUGUCAUGAGAUGAUGCUGGCUUGGCCACUCCCUCAUUCUUUCUGAAGUGGAAGGGAAGCAUUGCAAGACAAAUCCCCUGCCACAACGGAGAGCAACAAAACACUGUGGAUGGGAGAGUAAGUCUCAAUGGCAAGACCAUUUCUUAAGAUUGUGUUGCAAUCAUGCUGGGUUAAUUAUUCAAUGGAGAAAAGACACCUACAAGACAAUAUUUAAAGAGGUGGCUACCAAGGAAUAAGUCCAAGGUGUUACUUAUAAGCAUUUAGAAUGGAAAGGCUUUGGGAGGCGUUUUUUUCUACCAGAAGGAAAAAAAACCCUUGCCUACAGUAGAAGAAAAUGCUUUGAAGCUUAAAGUAAUCCUAGGAAAGAAUAACAUGAAGCUCAGCUGGAACCAGUUUGGCUAGAACAGCCUCUUCAUUCUCAUCCAGUGAUACAUACCAGGUCUCAGUCAUAGGAGGAAAUCAAGGUACAAAUGAUGAUGAUGAUGAUGAUGAUGAUGACGACGACAACAACAACAACAACAACAGAACAAAAAUCCUUCAAUUACUUGUGGCCUUCUUCAAGAAGAACAUUAGUGAAGUAUUACAUCAUCGUAUGCCUCUGCUGCUAGAUGUAUCCAUUGUGUCCUCUGGCUAUGUGGAACUCUUCCUGAGUUGCAUUAAUAAUAUUUCUUUUGGCACUGAACACUCUUGAAAGUGACAUGAGGUGAAUACAAAACAGAUAGAGGUCUUACUCAUCUGCAGUCUUACAAUAAAGGUAUAAUAUCAAUAGAAAAUGUGUAAUGUGCGUUUGGCUGUAAUUCAAAUGCACACUUUCUCAUAAGUAAGUCCUACUUUUCAGGGAGAUUUCGCAGGAUCCCACUCACUGUUGUUAAAGGUAUAAGAGUGAAAUUUCAGUUUCCCAGUUUCUUAUUCAGUAGACUCUUGGGCUGGAUCUACACUGUGAUAUAAUUUAGUUUCUGAAUCCAGACUAUCUGCUUUGAAGUGGAUUAUAUGAGUCUACCCUGCCCUAUAAUCCAGUUCAAAGCAGAUAAUCUAGAUUUAUAAACUGGAUUAUAUGGCAGUGCAGAUGGGGCCUUAGUUAACAAACACUCAUGGGAAUCAAUAAAUGCUGGAUAAUGUAGUUUCUGGUUGCUUGAGAGUUACUAUUUAAAAUAGGCCUAACUAAUACUAUACAAUACCACAUACUAUACUGUAAUAUAAAUUGUAUAUUGACUUGGUGUUAAUACUGAAAUACAAUAAUUAAAAGCAAAUAAAGACAAAUAAAGGUAAACUUAAUGUAACACUGGUUUACUAUUUUAAUGUAUUAUAAAAUAACUUUUCUUAAUUUAAAGUAUGAUUUAUUUUAUUCAUUUGCCAGUUGCUUAAGAGUCCUGUUUGCUUGAGUUCUAGCUAACUGAGAAUCCACUGUACAUCAGAGUUUUCACAUCUAUAUUUUGAAUGGCAAACAAGCAUUUUUUAUGUGGGAGGGGGGCCUGCUAGAUACUUGUAAUAAGUAGUGCCAAUGGACACCAUUACUUCCUAAAGCAUUUUCCAUCAAUCUUCACAUUAUCAUUUGUACAUGCUACUUUUUCAUAGUAUGUAGUUAACAGGGAACUGUAACAAAGUAUAUCUAGCUAUUCGUGAGCAUUUUAAGUCAGGUGUACUGUAAGCCUCACUGCCUAGUCUACCAGAGAUACAUGUGACAAAACUGCUGUCCAGGUUGGACCAACAGUUACAGUCCUUUAGCUUCUACCACUCACCUUGACCUUUGUGAUAAUGGGAUUUUCUGUUAUCUGGGCAACACAAUCGAGGAAUAUAUUGUCUCUUCAAUGUGUACAAUGGACUGAGAAUUUGUUGAUUUUAAGUUAUAUUUCAUGAAGGUCACCAUCAUGGAGGAGUAAAAGAGAUUAUGAGAUAAUUGUCCAGUGAAGAUAAUCAUGAUCAUUCUAGUAGACAUGCUGGGGUGAACAUUUUUUCAAAUGAAGCAGUGUGUUUGAAGAUUGGGACAUUUGUAGGGAUACCAAGAUGCUUGUUUAUAAAACUAUUGUCUUUCCCACUCUGUUAUAUGCCUGCAAAGCAUGGACCAUCUACAAACGUCACUCUUAACUUCUGGAAAAAUUCCAUCAGUGUUGCCUCUGAAAAAUCCUUCAAAUCUCUUGGAAAGACAGACAGACAAACGUCAGCAUCCUGGGAAAAGCAAAGACCACCAGCACUGAAGUGAUGAUCCUUCGCCAUCAACUUCAUUGGACUGGCCAUGUGUCCAACUGCCCAAUCACUGGAAAUUUAUGUCUGCAUUGUGAAAGACCAUGUGGAUCUAAAAUAGGUCUCUACAGUCACUUACAGACCCAUUACCAAGAAUCUACCCUUAGAAGACAAUCAUACUUGGCCACUUUGAUUGCUCUGGCUGCCUUCUGUGGAAUCCUGGGAUCUGCAAAUUAGGGAGGGGUAUUUCAAAUUAUCAGCAUUAUUUUCUACAAAUAUAUUUAUCAUUAUUCAAGAAGUGAAAAGCAGAACUGGUCACCGUUUAUCAUACCAAAUCCACUGAUGGAUACAAUCUCCUGUCCAGAAUAGCAAUCAUCUUGAAGCCAGGUUAUAGGUCUAGAUAGAUAUCCUGAAGGUAUGUUAAAUGCACAUAAAAGAUAAUCUUCCUUAUGUGUUUCAGCAGAGUCAAACUUUGUAUAGAAAAUGUCUUUAACAUUUAAGAAUUUCACUGCAGCUAGAUUUCAACCCUGGGGAAUCCUGAUGGUGGAGAAAUUUGUUGGAGAAUUGUGAAAAAAUACUUUGCAUGCCUACUGGAGAUUGACAAGAAAAACAUGUCUGUGCUUCCUCUAUGUGUCUAGCCAAUGUUUAUAGUAUUUUUGUUUUAUACUUUACUGUCUUUGUUUACUUGAAUUCUUCCAUCUUUGAAAGUAAACCCUAACUGAACAGUUCUAAAGAGAUGGGAUGCUCUCAAAUGGAGGGCACUACAAUGGAAGUGUAGGCAUUUCUGCUACAAUUGUCAUUGCUUUUUUGAUGUGAGCUAUAAGUGGAAUUUUCCACUCUUCAGGCAACUUAGCACUGCAGAGGUGUGUGACUAUCUUGCUAUAUCCUAUGUAGGUGAGAAGUAAUGCAGGCAACAUUUGCUCUUCAUAUUUAACCCUGUCCUCUUCCUACUUUCCCAGAAAGUGAUAGAACAACCUCAGCUAAAGAUAGUGUCUCUUCUGAAUGAAUGACUGGAAAAGGUAAUGGGUUGGAUGAGAAAAAUAAAUUGAAACUAAAUCCAGACAAAACAGAGAUGCUUGCCAUCAAGGGUCCUAAUCUGGGAGUGGAGGUGUGUCAACCCUGCCUCUUACACACCUCACUCAAUUUCCCCAGUGUGGUGAACUAGCAGCAUCAAUUCAAUGACUCUUCCUCCCUACCAUGAGAGAUCUUUCUGCAUUCUGUUUUUGUCAAUGUUUGUUUGCAGCUUUUUAAUUAUCAGGAAUGCACUGACAUGUUUGGGGGUGGGUGGCUAUGUUGUUGCGUAUUGGGGAAAUAUAAAAUUAAAUUGUAUUAAUUAAAAACAAACACUCGUUGCUCCUUGAAUAGGGAAAAAAGAAUCACAGUAUUCCACAUAGAAUCUACAUUUAUUUACAUAAAUCUAAGAAGGCUAAGGAGAAAGGAAUUUGGGUUGUUUGUCCUGAGACAGUAGCUGCUUCCAGGACAUCUCCAGGAUGUGGCAGAAGAAAGCAUCAAUUCCCGUUUCAGCACACAGACAGCCUUAAGUUAUAUUAUAGCACUAAGAUGGCAUUAUUAAAGCAGAUAGUCCUCUAUAAGGAAGAUAAGGACAUUGCUUUGUUUAGAUGUUAGUACAAGUGAAUUUCUCCCAAAGGGAAAAUUCUGAAGAACAAUAAAAAUAGGCUCAGAAUAAAGCUGAUUCCUCCCUCCAUUCCUCAGACCUUCUAGGUCUGGACUCUUUUACAAAGACUUCCUACUUUCCCAGAAAGUGAUAGAACAACUUCAGCUAAGGAUAUUGUGUCUCCUCUGAAUGAAUGCCUGGAAGAGGUAAUGGGCUGGAUAAGAAAAAGGAAAUUGAAACUGAAUCCAGACAAAACAGAGAUGCCUGCCAUCAAGGUCCUAAUCUGGGAAUGGAGGUAUGUCAACCAUUACUGGAUGGGGUUACACACCUCCUGAAAGAUUGUCUUUACAGUUUGGGAGUGUUCCUGGAUCCAUCUCUCCAAAUGUCAGCCCAGGUAGGUAGGACAGUCAGGAGUGCUUACUAUCAGCUUUGGCUGAUACACCAGCUGUGCCCCUUCGUAGAUUUGGAGGACCUAAAGAUGGUAGUGCACACACUGUUAACCUCAAGCCUGAACUUCUGCAAUGCAUCUUACAUUGGGCUAACUUUGUACCAAGUUCAGAAACUCCAGCUUGUUCAAAAUAUGGCAGCCAGACUUAUUACCAGAGCAUCCAGGAGUGAGCAUAUUACACCUAUCCUAAAGUCACUCCACUGGCUGCCAAUUAGUUUCUGUGCAAAGUACAAGGUGUUGAUUUUGACCUGUAAAGUCCUACAUGGUUUGGGCCCAGGUUACUUACAGGAUCGCCUUCUCCUGUACAAGCUGCCCUGAACACUGAGGUUCUCUGGGGGUGGGGGUGGGGGGUACUCCAACCAGCCAGAACCUGACUGGCAACCAUCACUCAAAGGACCUUUUUAUUGGCUGUUCCAAAACUGUGGAAUAACCUGCUGGAAGAGCUCCGACAGCUAGAUCAGCUGUUGGAAUUUUAAAAGCUACUAAAGACCUAUACUUCUGGCAGGCCUACCCAGCCAGUUUUAAAGAUGAAUUUAAACUUGUAUCUUGUGUUUAAUCUCUGUUCUAUUUAUUUUAAUAUGAUGUAGAUAUAUGUUUUAAUAUGUAGUUUAUAUGUGUAUUUAUAGCAUUUUUGCAAUGUUUAUAGGUUUUGAUUGUGCUAUAACCCACCUUGGGUCAUGAGGAGAGGUGGGUAUGAAAUAUAUUAUUAUUAUUAUUAUUAUUAUUAUUAUUAUUAUUAUUAUUAUUGACACAACAAUAUAGUAUGACACAGCAAACAAGAUAGAUAUACUGGAUUUCGUAUCUCAAAAUCACAAGUCGAACACUUCCCAAGCAUUUAGGACUGUGUGAUGUAUUUUCGGAUGAUGCGUGCAGAUCCCAGUAAGGUGGCCUUUUGCAGUUGACAGAUCGUAAUUUUGUCAAUGUUUAUUGUUUCCAAAUGCCAGCUGAGAUCUUUUGGCACAGCACCCAGUGUGCCAAUUACCACCGGGACCACCUGUACUGGUUUAUGCCAGAGUCUUUGCAGUUCAAUCUUGAGGUCCUAAUAGCGGCUGAGUUUUUCCUGUUGUUUUUCAUCAAUCCAACUGUCACCUGGGAUGGCGACAUCAAUAAUCCAAACCUUUUUCUUUUCCAUGACUGUGAGGUCUGGUGUAUUGUGUUCCAGAACUUUGUCAGUCUCAAUUCAAAAGUUCCACAGUAUCUUUGCGUGUUCAUUUUCCAUUACCUUUGCAGGUUUGUGAUCCCACCAGUUCUUUAUUGCUGGGAGGUGGUACUUGAGGCAUACAUUCCAAUGAAUCAUUUGGGCCACAUAGUUGUGCCUCUGCUUGUAGUCUAUCUGUACGAUUUUCUUACAGCAGCUGAGGAUAUGAUCAAUGGUUUCGUCAGCUUCCUUGCACAGUCUGCAUUUUGGGUCAUCAGCUGAUUUUUCGAUCUUGGCCUUAAUUGCAUUUGUUCUGAUGGCUUGCUCCUGUGCUGCAAGAAUCAGGCCUUCUGUCUCCUUCUUCAGUGUCCCAUUCGUAAGCCAUAGCCAGGUCUUCUCCUUAUCAGCUUUUCAAGCUUUUUGUCAAGGAACUUUCCAUACAAUGCUUUGUUGUGCCAGUUGUCAGCUCUAGUUUGAGCUGCUGUGCUUUGAGGAGUUUCUGAUUUUUGACUUCAAUCAAAGUAGGUUCUUCACUUUGCUUUACAUGUUCUGCCAGGGCAUGUUCUUCUUCUUUGACUGCUUGUUUGACUUGUAAGAGUCCUCUGCCACCAGAUCUUCUAGGCAGAUAUAGCCAGUCAGCAUCACUGCGUGGGUGUAGUGAAUGAUGAAUGGUCAUGAGUUUUCUUGUUUUUUCUGUCCAAAUUGUCCAGUUCCACCUGAGUCCAGUUUAUGCCAGCAGUAUAUCUUAUGACAAAUUAUUAUUAUUAUUAUUAUUAUUAUUAUUAUUAUUAUUAUAGAUGGUCUCACUUUAUUCUGUGGGAGAUUUAUAAAAAUGAACAUUAGAGCAAAAAGGUGGAGCUCAGGAGCCUGGUUAAACCUACUCUGGCCUCCAGAUCUAACCUCCAGAGUCCAGUUAAAACCUACCUUUUGUGUCUGCAAAAACAGCAGUCAUUCUCAAACAUAUCUAUUGAACAUUUGUAAAAAGAGAGAAAAAAUGGCAAGUUGUUCAAGUCACAGGAAGGGAUGGCUCUGAACUCUAUUUCACAUUCAUUGACCAUGCAGAUGGUUUCAUCUGUUGCGUACAUAAAACAAAUAACUGCCAAAUUAAGUGAGAGCCAGAAAACUAAUGAACAGUUGCUUAACAUGUUUUAGCCUGAGUUGUAGAAUUUCUGAUAGCAGAUUCAUUCAGACCACCUGCAGAAGAGGAGUGCUCAGCAUCACCUUCCACAUUUUAGGAACCAAUCCUACCCCUAGUUGAUUUUAUCUACUGGGAGAAAAUUAAACAAAGAUACUUUUGUUUAUUGGGUGUGGGGAGAGAACUGCUGACAGGAAAGGGCUAACAGCCUCUCUCACCUCCUGCCCUAAUCAAAUCUUUAGCCUCCUUUUCUCUACACAGUUUUAUUUAGCUUUUGUAAAAAGAAAGGAAAAUUGCUCAUACAUGUCUCUCAUCUCUCAUUUAGUGUGACCCUGAGACAGAAGCUAAAAGAAAGUGUUAAAUAGAUUUCAAACUUUCAGACCUUGCUAAAUGUUUCCAAUCCAGACAGUGUAAUAAAAAAACAGUUGAAGUGAACACAAGUGUUUUAUAAAAACAACAUUGCAUAAUUUCUCAUGAUCAUUCUAAGUCACCUCCAUGGAAAGGAUAGAUUCACAGCCUGGAAUCCAAGGCAACUCCAAAAGAAUAUUGAUCUUCUUGUUACUGCGAAGUGCAUCUUACAUAUUGGGAAUGAAAGCUCCAGACACAAUGUAAUGACCUCUCCUUCCUUGGUUUCUCUCUCCUAACAAAACAGAAUCAUUUUCACUGCUCAACUGGAUAUUAAACUGUAAAUCUUGUAAUUCUACAUUCAUAAAGCUUGCUUUAUUCGGUUAAUAUACUGCAAGAGCAAAAAUGAAAAGACAUAGCCUUUAAUUUAUCAAAGUAUCAGUUCCAUUUACUCUCUAUUGGUCAUGUCCACAGCUAGUAAGUGGGGGCUCUAAUUUGUUCACUUGCUGAAUGAAGCAGCAAUCUCCUUGUAUUUUAACACUGAUGCAUUAGUUGAAAGAUGGCCAUUAAUUUCACUAAGGGCUGAAGACCUUGGCUGCCCUCUGUUUUAUAUUUAGCCCUUUUAAAAAGCAGAGUCUAGCAUAUCCAUAUCAAUUAGAUACCCCCCUCUCCAGGUUACAGGCAUGCCAAGAUUAUAUUUAUUGUAUUAUGUAAAGUCAGUGACAUCUUACCUCAAGGGUGCAUAUCCAGACCAUAGAAGCAGCGUGAAAACUAUGUUAAACAUAAUCAUGGUGACAUAUUACCUCAGAGGGACAUAUCCUGAUCGUAAAAGCAGAAUGGAAAGUAUGUUAAAACAAAAGCUUCACUUUCCAGCAAUGUCAGUCAGGUCAAAUUUUGUUUUCACACCUGCCAGAUUUCAGUAUAAUCCAUCACCUUUGGAGAUUCUGGGUUUUUUCCCCUUCAGAACAAUGGGCUGAGGCUAGAUAUCUUUCCCAUUAACUGGGUGUUCCUUUCUUCUGGGUUUAAAUAAUACAUGGUGGGAGAUUUUUCCUAGAUAUUCUAAUACAAUCUGCUUCUGAAUCACAAUUCUCUGUGUGAAUAUGUUUGCUCUUUCUAUCCCAGACUGCUUUUGAAGGGGAGGAUGGAAAUAGUAUCUGACAGCAAAUGGUGGGAAAGCAACAAACCUAGACAAACAUUCAAUGUAGACUGUGCCAGACAAUGUUGGAAAUAUUGUCAUGAGCAUCUAUCAAAAAUUGAAAUGGGCGAUCAGGUUUGCUUUAUGCCAUACUAGAAGUUUAUGCUUUAUCUAUCUCAAAUGUUAGGAGGAAAGGAGCCAUGAAUUUGGUUAAACCUGUAGAAGAACUAGACUGAAAUGGCAUUUUCAGAUAUCUGUACUGGCCUAAUUUGAUUUGGGCAGUCAGCACACCAUACCCACAGAGUCUACAUUCAUGACUUCAACCAAAAAAAAAUCCAAAAGGCCAAGUUUUAUUUUGCCAUUUUAUAUAAGGGACACCAUUUCACUAUGUUAUACUAUAAUGGGACCUGAUCAUCCAUGGAUUUCUGUAUCCAUGGCGUGAGGGUGGGUAUCCCUAAACCAAAUAUCAGCAGAUAUCAUGGGCUCAUUAUGCAGGUUUUGCCUGUAUGAAGAUAGCUAUGUUGUACCGUCUGGCCAUAUAGCAUAUAAAGACAACGAGCAUCCUUUACACUGAAGCCUGGAGCAAACUUACUGCCUCGCUAAUACUAAAGUGAUAAACUACUACUGAUUUCUUUAAUAAAUAUAAAAAAUGAUUUUUUAAAAUAUGCUGAGAUGAAAAUUGCACCUAGAUCAGAUAAAGAGAUAUCAGAACUAAAAUUGCCCCCCUCUUAUUCUUUUUUCAGGUACUAAGUUAUUAAAAUUCAUCCUGCCAGUGAAAUAUUUCCAGUUUGUGGGCGGGCUUCUUUCUAUCUGUCUAUCUUCAGCCCUUUGGGUUUCCUUGUGGACAGAAUCAGCAGGGUAUAAAUAAACAUCAUCAUCUAAAAGAACUUUAUGCUUGGAGAAGAACCUUGCUUGAGCGUCAAGAUGGCUUUAUGUGUAUUUUGGUUUUCCUAAGUUCAGCCUGCUGUCUGCUCGUCUGUUAUGGCUUCCUACUUCUGGGCUCUUAUGCAGUAAAAGAACACAAAAUAAAUCCACCAGCUUCCCCUCCUUAUUUGUAGAAAACUAUUUUCAGUCAUAUGCUCAAAAAGGCUGUAUGUUUUGAUAAAGCCCUCUACAAUAGUAGAUGUACUACACAGAGCAUUACUUGAGGGAUUCACAAAAAUAACUGGAGAAAGCUAAGAAAUCAAGAGAUUUUUUAAAAUUGCUGUUUUGUUUCUUAUUGAAUAAUUUGUUUCAAUUCGAAAGACACGGUCAAUAUUUAUAUCUGCUUCUUCUUCUGUGAUGUCUAAGGCUUCUGCUACUAUCAGGAUUAUUGUUCGUUUAAUAUCUUCAUUAAUCUGUUCUUUAAUAUUUCUGAAUUGAAGUAGGUAUUCCAAUUCUUGUUGCUCUAGCAAUUAUUGUUUCAGCUCUAAUUUAUCAUGCUUUGUGUCUAAUAUAUCAACUUUAUUUUUAAGCUUUUCUUGCAUUUUUUCUGAUUUUUCUUUCUCUUCUUUAAAUUCUUUGAAUUCUGAUUUGAUUGAAUCUAUCUCCUUUCUCACUUCUCCUAAUUCCGCCACUAUCUCUGUCGUUAUUUCUUUCUUCAUUGUAUAUAAUUCUUGAGUGAGUUCUUUCCUCAUAGUUGAACUUUGUUCUUCUGCUUUCUUCUCAUAAGUAUCUUGCUUCUUAGAAAUCUUUUGCAUUUCUUUCAUUAUAUCUUUCAAUGAAAGUUCUUUAGAGAGUGAAGGCCUUCUUGUGCUUAUUUUCUUUUCUUCCUGUUUGAGUUUGGAUGCAACCAUAGUGUAGGUUUUUCUUAUUUUUGUUUAUAUUGUUUAAAUCUCUACAAUUUUAUUUUAAAUGUUUAUACUUAUUUCUAAAAAAAAUCAAUCAUUUCACUGGAACCCUAUUCAAAGUAAUAGUCCAUCUAUAAAUGUUUGUAUUUAAUUCAAUCAGUUAUUUCCAGAAAGAGUUUCUUUCCCUCAAUAAUUCAUUCUCUAAUGCUGCACCACUUCAACAUUAAUCAUUGUCUAUCUAUUAAUCCAUAUAAAGGUUAAAAAAAAGGAAAAAAUUGAAGUUCUAGUUUCUAAAAAAUUAAGACUUAUAAUCCCAGUAACGCAAGACAAAUUGCAUUCAAAAUCCUAAUCUUCAUCUAUCGUAUAUGAAAAACCAUGAAAAAUAUUGAAAUAAUAAUAAGUAAUAAUAACAAGAAGUAAUAAUAAUAAUAAUAAUAAUAUAAUAAAAAGGAAUGAGAGAAAAGAACAGAAAAAAUAAAUAAAAAGAGAAAAAAAGAAAAAAGUUAAUAGCCACUCAAUAUAUAUGUAUAUACAUACAUACACAUACACACACACAAAUACAAAAAUUGAAAUUGUUUAUAGAAAAACACACAAACAAAAACAAAGAUUAGUCUAAUAAGGCUAUCUAGUUUUCUCUUUAAGGAGUCCUACAACAAAGAAAAGCAAAGGAUUUUCCCACCUAUUUUCUUUAAGAAUCUUAUUUCAUACUCCUGGGUUUCCCUUCAAUUGGUUGCCCACAUCGCCUUUCCGCUCUAUUCUCGUCCUGCUUGGCUCCUUGACCCGUCUUGCCGCAACCUUUCUCCUUUGUGAGCACAGUGCCAGGGUAAAUCUUCUUUCACCGCUUCUUCUCCUCUGUGGAGUUUUGGCUCUCCUCCUCCCAUCGCUCAUCCCCCUUUUGCCAGGCUAUCACACUCCCUUAAGGCAACUUCCUCCGCCCAUUUUCCUGACUCUCUAGGCUUCUUCUUCCUUUCGUCUACUGUCCUGAUUUUCCACCCUUACUUGUCUCCAUUUCUGCCAGGUCUCUCAUGAUAUUCUGUCACUCUAGGAGUUCCUGCCUGCUGUUUUGAAGAAGCAGAUACUCUAGACACAACAAUUUCAUCUUCAAGGCCAAUAUGUCUGCUCCAAAUACUUUGAGUUCUCCCAUCCAGAGAUAAUCACAAGGUAAUCAAAUUCUAAAGUUCUUUAAUAUUAUUUCUUUCGAUGGUCUUUGAUUACUUAUAAUUUAAAUAUAAUUUAGUAACAAAUCAAUUUAAUUUUGCUUGAGUUAAAUUCAUUCAUUUGUUUCAUAGUUAAUUUCUUAAAAUUUGAGAGGUCUUGUCCCAAAAGGAAUUGAUUAUUCGUAAAACUUACAUUUGAAUUAGUCUUCUUCUUGAGUUUAAAAUGGGCGAAGAACAGCUGUAAGCCCAGGGUCCAAAAUGUUCUAAAAUGGUUUGGGUUUUUUCCCCAUUUACAUAUUUGGUCCAGAUGUAGUUUAUAUGUAGCUACAGGGGUAAUCAUAGAAUAAUAAAGUUGGAAGAGGCCAUCCAGUCCAACCCCCUGCCAAAAAGCAGGAAAAUUGCAUUCAAAGUAACCCCGACAGAUGGCCAUCCAGCCUCUGCUUAAAAGCCCCCAAAGAAGGAGCCUCCACCACACUCCAGGGCAGAGAGUUCCACUGCUGAACAGCUCUCACAGUUAGAAAGUUCUUCCUAAUGUUCAAGUGGAAACUCCUUUCCUGUAGUUUGAAGCCACUGUUCCACAUCCUAGUCUUCAGGGCAGCAGAAAACAAACUUGCUCCCUCCUCCCUAUGACUACCCCUCACAUAUUUAUACAUGGCUAUCAUGUCUUCUCUCAGCCUUCUCUUCUGCAGACUAAACAUGCCCAGCUCUUUAAGCCACUUCUCAUAGGGCAUGUUCUCCAGAAUCUUGAUCAUUUUACUCGCCCUCCUCUGAACACAUUCCAUCUUGUCAACAUCUCUCUUCACUUGUGGUGCCCAGAAUUGGACAUAGUAUUCCAGGUGUGGUCUGACCAAGGCAGAAUAGAGUGGUGAUAAUAAUAUAAUAACUUUAUUCUUAUAACCUGCCACCAUCUCCCCAAAGGGACUUGGGGCGGGUUACAAGCCCAGCAUAAACAAGGAAUUCAAAGUUACAUAAUUAAAAACAUAUAACAAAUAAACAAUAUAAUGGAAACAGUUAAAACCUGAAAGUAAAAACAUAAUAAAAAUACAUCAAUCAAUAUCACAACCAGUAACUGGAAAAAGUGGGCAUGUACAGAUAUGAGAGGGAAGGGCAAGGCUUGUGCAAAACACAGAGCAAUAGGGCCGGGGCUGGGGGGGGGGGGGUAAAAAUUAAAUUAGGGCUUGGCAGCCAUGAUUGUGAGCUAAGGGCCGGGCUGUGGCGCAGCUGGCUAGUAACCAGCUGCAAUAAAUCGCUACUGACUGAGAGGUCAUGAGUUUGAAGCCCGGGUCGGGUUAAGCCCCCAACCAUUAAAUAGCCCGGCUUGCUGUUGGCCUAUGCAGCCCCGAAAGACAGUUGCAUCUGUCAAGUAGGGAAAUUUGGGUACGCUUUAUGCGGGAGGCUAAUUUAACUAAUUUACAACACCAUAAAACUGCCAGCAAAACACGAGGAAAGGAAUGAGGAAGUACAACCACUAGUGGACGGUGAAGCAACAGCUCCCCCUGUGGCCAGAAUUGUGAAGCUGGAAAAAUGUUAAAAUGCCUCUGUGUCUGUCUAUACUGUAUGUUGUUUGUCUGUUGGCAUUGAUUGUUUGCCAUAUAUGUGUUCAUUGUAAUCCGCCCUGAGUCCCCUCCGGGGUGAAAAGGGCAGAAUAUAAAUACUGUAAAUAAAUAAAAAAUAAAAAAAUAAACCAUUAUUUAAAGGCAUGUUGGAAAAUCCAAGAUUUCAAGUCUUUACAGAAAGUGGACAGAGUAGGGACUAAUCUAAUGUCUCUGGGGAGAGAGUUCCAAAGUGAGGGCCACCACCGAGAAGGCCCCCUCUCUCGUCCCCACCAACCAUGCUUAUGACGGAAAUGGGAGUGAGAGAAGGGGUUCCCUGGCAGACCUUAGAGCUUGUGCCAGAAAGCGAGAUGCGGUCAUGAAGAUAAGCAGGACCCAAUCCAGGGUAGCAUGACUUCCCUGGAUCUAGACAUUAUACUCCUAUUUAUGCAGGCCAAAAUCCCAUUGGCUUUAUUUGCCACUGCAUUGCAUUGUUGGCUCGUGUUUAACUGUGUCCAUGACUCCACGAUCUUUUUUACACGUACUGCCGAAUCAGGCAUCUCCCAUUCUGUAUCUUUACACUUCAUUUUUUCUGCCUAAGUGGAGUAUAUUGCAUUUGUCCCUGUUAAAGUUAAUUAGUUUCUGCUCAUCUCUCUCAUCUGUUAAGAUCGUUUUGGAUUUUGCUCCUGUCUUCUGGAAUAUCAGCUCCUCCCCCCCCCCCCCAAUUUUGGUGUCAUCUGCAAACUUGAUGAUCAUACAUUCUAGUCAUUCAUCUAAGUCAUUAAUAAAGAUGUUGAACAGAACUGGGCCCAGGACAGAACCCUGCAGAACUCUACUCAUCACUUCUUUCCAGGAUGAAGAGGAAAAAUUGUUGAGCACCCUUUGGGUUUCUUCACUUAGCCAAUUACAGAUCCAUCUAGCUGUAGUUUUGCAACAUGAAGCAACAACAUCUCAAAAUAUCUUUCCCCCCAAAAAAGGCAAUAUUAAGAUAUCAUAUCAUCUUAAAUCUCCUCUCUUAAGUGUUUCCUCACUGUACCAAGUCAUGGAGCCAACUCAAAUUCAGUUCAAAGUAUUACACAGCAAGAAAAACUCAAGAGUGGCACACUGACUUUCUUUGUUUUCUCUUUGUUGUUUGAUUUGGCUUUCCCUGGGGUGUAUGAAUUCAUAGCCAUUCUCUCCAAGCAUGUAUGCCAAACUCCAACCAUACUUGCUUGGAAGCAUGGCUUCUGGAAAUGAAAGGAACCAAUUAUCAAGUAAGCAUGCUUGGGAUGGUAUCACUCAAGUAUGAAUGGCUGAGAUAUGACAAAAUAUAUUGCACUAAGGUAAACACUUUACUCUGUGAAAAUGUCCCCAUCUUGCUUGCCCAAUCAACUAUAUGCAUGGUAUGAACCGAGAUCUUUUCUAUAUAGCCAUGUGUUAUUUGAUACUGGUAGCCUUACAUUUAUGACAUGGAAUGGGGAGGACAAUGAUUGUAGUUUAACCAUAAUCUCUGACAAUGUUCAAGUAAUAAGAACUCCUUUUCUCAUGGGAAGAAAUAAAAUCCAUUCUGAACUCAAUUCAGAUACACAAAUAAAAACAUUUUGUUCUCAGCAUGUCAAACAUAUUGACUGAGAGGAACAUAUAUACAAUGCAAACCUAACUAAUCUUUUAAUGGAAUUUAUCAUAGGGUAUAUAGUACACAGUAACAAUAAUGUUUAAGAGUAAACCCCAUAAAACAUAAUGGGGCCUACUUCUGAAAAAAUAGACUUUGGAUCAAAUUGUUAGUAAUCCAAACACCAUUUAGAGCAACAGCUGCCAUACUUAGAAUUCAGCUCAUUAUGACUUCGCUUAAUAAAGGUCCUAUCAGUGGGAUGGGACUGUGGAAAUUGUAUUCCAUAAAUAUGUAGGAACCCAGGUUUAGAAACCACUGGUUACUCUAAUAGUGUUUAAAAUGUUUGCCAGUUAUUACUCAUUUCUCUUCAUUAGUGAGAGCCAUAGCAUUCAUUGGGAUUUCUUCUAGAUAACUAUGUAUAGCCCAGUAUUGCAGAUUCUGGGUGAUAAGGAUGCAUUGGGGACAAAAAAAAUUGUCAAUACCCCUAGGAAAGUUCUCUGUUUCCCAGAAUUGCCAUCUUAAUAUUCCUUUUAUAUUUCCACUCCCAAUGUGCUUUUGAGAUUUAAAUUGGCAUUCAUACACAUAACCGUCAGCAUAUUGCUAUGAACUCACACUUAGGACUUCUUCACAUGGGGCAUAUUUGCCCUGUUUUGCUGCUUUUAAUUGCGGCAAGGAUAGGGUCUGCUGUGCAACAUCACAUGACGCAUGGCAGGCCCCACCCACUUUCCUCCCAAAUGGAUUCAAAUUAUAAUUUAUAUACACACAUAUAUUAGAAAGACGAUGUUUACUGUAAGAAUUGAAAAUGGAAUACAUUACCUUGGAGGGUAAAGGAUUCCCCUCCUUUGGAGAUUUCUAAAUAAAGGUUGGAUGGGUGUCUUUCAGAAGGGCUUCAGUUGUGUAAAGGGCUGUGUGAGAUGACAAUUGCAGUCCCUUCCAAUCCUUUGCUUCUCUGAAUUUUGCUACUUUCAGUGUCCAGUACUGGACUAGCUAAACCAAAGGUUCAACUCAAUAAAGGGAAGGUUCUUAUGUUACUGUGCUGAAGGUUUUCUUGUCAAAGGGUUCUUUAAAAAUUAAGGAGAAUAAAUGUCUCAUGUAUGUAUUUACAUGCUUCACCCAUAAUAAGGUCAAUGUUCCUCAUUUAUCUUAUGUUAUAGUAAUAAUCUGAUUUAGGUACCAAUUAUUUACAGAAAAGUAACUGGUCAGGCUUCCAAAAAAAAGGGGGGGAGUAAAAUGGGAAAUAAUUCAUUAUUCUAUUCACAUUGCAAGGGAAUAGCAAAGAGUGUUUGAUUACACAGCCUCUUUUCAUGACCAAAUUAGUUUUGGCAUGCAAGGCCUUUGCUAUUCAAUUCAUGAGGGGAAAAGAUUUCCUCUUCAAGUGCCUACAGAAAUUCAAGCUACUUAAUUCUCCUCAGAAUAGUACAGUUCUUUAAAAAUGGUGGCUCAGAGACUAAUGCAUUCUGACUGCCUUUCUGUUCUAUUGUAUAGACCAACUUGGAUGUGAGGUACAGCAUAAUCAAAACCACAAAAUAACAUGGGGUGAGGGGAUGAGAUACAAAAAAAGAUUUUUUUUGAUUGAUUGAUACUAAAAACUUACUAAAUCAAGGUAUUUCGCAUAUCCAAAACUGUUUGACUUGAUAGUUUGCUAGGUAUUUAGCUUGUUGCUGUAUUUGUAUGAGAAACAAUGUUAAACUACAAACAAAAUAUUGGUGUGUGGAGAGGCAAAUGACCUUUAUUCAUUAAAUAAAGAUGAUUGGUUUUUGGUUGAUUUGCAACCUUUCAUUUUUCAAUCAACUGUAUCUCAAGGACCUCAGGGAAGGUUUAAAAUUGCCAUCAAACAAACAGUAUAAAAUAACAAAGAACACAAAUGCUAUUACAUAUGCAAUCCACAUUUGUUUUUGGUUGUCAUGGUGUUUUUAAUUCUUCAUCUAUCCUAUAAAAGAAAAUGUCAUUUUUCAUGGAUGUUCAAUUGCUUUCAUUAUUAUAUAUAAGAUAAUGUUGUACUCUAAAUCAACUCAGUCUUUACUCGGUAAUAUGAAAAAAAAUCUUUUAAAAUUGAGAAAUAAACAACUUGCAGUGUUUUCUUAUUCUCUAUUAUGAAUUGUUGACAUUUGUGUAUUUCCUUUGUGGUUUAAAAUUUGCUCCCUUUGAUACUUAAGAUCUGACAGAUUAAUAACCUCAAAUUGUUUAACAAUCAUGAUAUCUUUUCUUUUGUAAAAAAAAAAAAAAAAAACCCCACCAGCUGUAAUUUAAUCUUUGAUAUGUAGUAUACACCUGAGACUUUGUAAGGGCAUGUUCAACUGUGAAUCAUUUGCAGUAACUCUCUCAUAUGCCAAUGUACUGAACAGAUUUUUUUUCACCCUAGAGAAUAGUAGCCUCAUUGAAUUUCUACACUGAAAAAUUAUGUACAUUAGUAUUUUUUUUGUUUUGCUUCUAUAAAGCAAAUGAUACGUAAUGUGUCAGAUUCAAAUAUAGCACAUUUUAUUUGAGCAUUAAGGGCUAAAAGAAUCCUGAUUACUCAAACAUCCUGUCAUAUGAAUGAGGAUUUUCUGCACCUAAAAUUUUACAAUAGUUUUGAGAAGAGAUAAUGGAAAAAGGAGAAUGAAUAAAAAACACAUUCCUAGCCCUGGGUUGGGGUUGCCAUUCGUUUUAGGUAACAGAGAAGAGACUGUUUGAAAAUGUUUUCUGUCAAAAAUGGAUGGAGUAUGAUCCUCUGAACAUUAAUGGAUCACAUCUCCCAACAGCCUAUAUUCAUUGGCAUUAGGGGCACAUGACUCCCAUGUAAGCGAAAAAUGCCAAUCAAAAACUUUCUAGCCUUUUACCUAAGAGAACAUCUUUUUAGGAAUUUCUAUGUCCUCCAGCAUGACUCUAUGGCCGACUUCUGCUGGAACCUAGCCAUAGAAUUGAACUGGAGAACCUAGAUAUUCCUAGAAAUGUGAUCUAUGCUCAGUUUCUGGAGGAGCUGCACUAGAGGACCUAGAGAUUCCUAGAAUGAACCCUGAAAUCAAAUUCAUGAAUGGUCAAAUCCACAAAAGGCAAAGCCACAAAUGUGGAGUAUUGACUAUUUGCCAAUUAUAAGGAAUGCUAGAAGUUGUGGUGUAGCAUCUUCCACAUUCUUGCCGCACCUGAAGGAUUGGCCAAUAUGAUUUAAAGAUGAGGAACUAUUAAAGAAAGAGAUAAGGGACCUUGAGAUUGCCCAUUAAUGGUCACCCUCUAGGCUGCAUACUAAGCAGGCUCAUUAGGCAUUGUGUUACAUUGGUGACAGGGAGUGUUUAUUUUAACAAUAGAAUUAUUUCUAAAUUUGUCUUUGUUCAUUACUAAACACUUAGCUCACAGGAAACGGUGCUGUUUUAGCCUUCUUUUUAGGUGAUGUGUUGCCUUGUCUAAUCGAUCAGAGCCUUCACUACUUAUGGAUGCUGAACUAAGUCUAUGACAUGAAAAAUAUUUUAUGGUCUUAUAGCUAUAGUAGAACCAGACUGCUUUCUCCUCAUUCUCUCUUAUUAUUCAAGAUUUUGCAUCUUGUCAUUGCAACAAAUAAUAUUCAAGAUAGCUAUGGUGCUCGGAGAAGUAGAGUCCAUAAGAUUAAUUACAUUAUAUACCCAACUUUGGUCUUAGGUAGGCUGUCAAAAACAAUGAGCACAAAAUUCAAACUGUUUGAUUAAAUUUUUCCACAGUUGACCCAGAUGCUUUAUUUCAGUUAUACAAACAUUUAAAUAAUCUAUUUAGUCAUCCUUGUUAUAUGCUAAUUCACUAUUUAUUGGGUCUUAAGUAGGCGAUUGCAUUGUGGUUACUUGAAAUGCUGUUUCCAUUAGUUCUACAUAAGCCUGCAGUCUAUGCAAAUGAAGAUGUGUAUGAAUUUGUCAAAAUCAUCUUAACUUUAUUCUAUCAGUCAAGCAUAGGAGCUCUUUAUUUCCUUCAUUGUUUUCCUUCAUGGUCUUUCUUUGCUUGCCUUUUACAUUUCCUUUUUGUAUAGAAAUCUAUCCAUCUACUAUGCCUUAACCCAGAUUUUCUACAUCUGCUUUGUUUUCUUUUAUAAAAUGUUUUAACUGAUUGAAUUAUAUUUCCAUUAUGCACUAGUAUGUAUUUUUGUACUUGAGUCAUAUGUAUCAACACACCGUAAAAUUGCAGAGCUAUAAAAGGCUAGUUUACAUUGCACACCAAUCCAUAACAAACAAACAAAAUGUUUUUGGAAGUUAAUUGAAGAAAUUGCAUAAUAUGAACAAGGGAAAAAAAUUAUCCUCUUCAACUAAGUUUAGUAAAAGGCUUCAGCCUUUGGCAAAUAGCUUCAUCUCCCCCCCACCCCCCACCCCCAGACAAUUGGAAAUCUUUUCUGUUUCAUGCAAAGGUAAAGCAUGUGUAAGACUUCAGAAAGGACACACUUGUGUAUGUGUGUGCAAUGUGCAUGUGUGUGCCUUCAAGCUACUUGUCGAAGUAUGGCAACCCCGCAAAUUGCAUAGUGUUUUCUUAGGCAAGGAAUACUAAUAGGUGGUUUUACCAGUUUCUUGCUCUGAAAUACAACUUAAAGCACCUAAUAUUUGUUGCUAUUGUCCCACCCAAGUACUAACAAAGGCUGAUCCUGCUUAGCUUCCAAGAUCAGAUAGGAUACUUAGGGAACUUAGACCCCUCCUACCUGGAAGGUAUUUACUAUUGAACUAAGAAGAAAGUUCCAUUAAUUUUAGUUCUCUCAUACCCAAAUACUCUUAUGUUCAAUGGCACUUAUUUCCCAGUUGAUAGACAGACAGACAGACUGUUAUUCUCCUGUUGAAAUCAAUGGUAUUUAGAAACAGCAUCUUGAGAACUGUGCUUUGAGUUCUGAAGUUUAAACAGGAAUUGCUGGAUACCUUCAUAAUAUAAUCCCUGACUUCUUACAGCUUUAACUGCUUGAGACCUAGCACUCGAUGUUAUUUAUUCCUUUUAAAAUAGGUUGUCUAGUCAUCAUCAUCUCCUGAUAAACACACCCUAGCCCCCCCCCCCCUGGCCACAUACACAUGAGUCUAUUUGCAGAUUAAGGAAAGUAACGUCCUCUGUACAUUAUACUGGUUAUUUACAUUGCAGUGUCACACACACACCACACAGUCAGGAAACAAAUGGUACCAAUGCUCAGCUUUUCCUAGUCACUGUAUCUCUACUCAGCUAUAGUUACAAUGUGAAGAGGGCAGAAAUACUCCCUAUAUAGGAUUUUAUUUUUCAAGGACCUCUUUAUGAAUACUUCAGUGUCCACAAGAGUACUGGUAGCUGUUUAUAAACCACUGCACUAGAAAAAAUACAAAGGAAGGCGCUACUUUUCAGCUCAAGAGCUAAUAGUGUAAUUAGAAGGAAGCUUUGUAAAGAGCUCGACAUAAACUUGGCACCAGUGGGCAUUUAUAGCACAUAACAAGCAUAUUUUAUUCAUUUGAUGAGAGCCAAAAGAUAGUUACUGCAAACCAUCUACUGAUAGCACAUGAAUAACCUGCUUAUGUCCAUACAAAGGAAAUUGAGAUGUGAGAAAAAUACAAUUCAAUUAAGUGUAAGGAUGAAUAAAUGUAUUUAAAAUAGUAAUUAUGUAAUGUUCUCUAACUUUGGGCACUGUCUGCCCAGAAUUUUAAAAGUACCAUUGUUUGCUUUCCAGGUUAUUUUUUAUUUUGUUUUAUAUAGUUAUUUAGAAAUAAGCAUCAGAAUUGUUACAUGACUGACCUGACUAAUCUUUGGUGAAUAUUUCUGCAGAUCUGAUUGUCCUCCAAAGAAAACUCAGAGAAAGAUUUUCCAUUCAAAUAAAAAAUGAUGACAAUAGAGGCUCUUGCUUUUGAGUAAACUAACAAAAGCUGAAUUUGAAAUCUCCAUACACCCUUCUAUCCAUAUUUAUCCAUCAAUAUUAUAUCUUUUUUAACUGGUUGAUAGUUGCAGUUUUUAUGUAGAUAUUUUCUGUGAAUAUCCCAACAAGUCCCAACUCUUUUGGGCUUCAGAAGAGCCCUAAAAACAUGGCUAUGUACCCAGGCUUUCAAGGAAUAAAUGAUAAAGACGACACGGAUGGACUUAUGGAUACAGCAUGAGGUUUUUUGGAUGAACUGAUCUGAUCAAAUGUUUUAAAUUUAUAUAUUGUAAUUUUGUAUUGUAUUUAAUAGUCUUUAUUAAAAGGUAAAGGUUUUCCCCUGAUGUUAAGUCCAGUCAUGUCUGACUCUGGGGGUUGGUGCUCAUCUCCAUUAGGAAGCCGAAGAGCUGGCGUUGUCCGUAGACACCUCCAAGGUCAUGUGGCCGGCAUGACUGCAUGGAGCGCCGUUAUUACUCUUAUGUAUUGUUUGAUAUUGUUUUUAUGUAGGCAUCGAAUUGUUGCCUUUGUUGUAAGCUGCCCCGAGUCCCUUCGGGUGAGAGGGACGGGAUAUAAAUGUUGGAAAUAAUAAAUAAACUGUAUGGCCCAAUUCUUGAUUGGGUUUGUGGAUGACUAGGACAUCUAGAAAUUGCAGUUUUCCUUCAUUUUCUUUUUCCGUGGUGAAUUGGAUGCUUGGGUGGAUGCUGUUGAGGAGGUCCAGGAACUUGUUUAGUUCUUCUUCACCAUGGCUCCAAAUGGCGAAGGUGUCAUCCUGAUAUGAACCAUAUAGUGGGCUUUUUGUUGCUGUUUCCAGGGUUUGUUUCUCAAAGUGUUUCAUGUAGAAAUUGACCAGGUCAAAAAAGAAGCAUAAUUAAAGCCCUGGCAGACUGUGCAAAAAAAAAAAAAUCUGCAAAGCCCACCUCCUCCAAAUUGAACUGAACGACCUAAACUGGGUUCUACAGGCCAAUAGAUAGUCCACUACAGACAUCAUAAGAGCUGCAAGGCCAAGAACAAACCAUGGGAGUAAAGACGAAGAUUCUCCCAGAGGAAAGGUGUUCUUACCAUACAUCAAGGGAACCACUGACCACAUAGGCAAACUGAUGAGGAAGCACAACCUACAAACUAUGUACAAACCCAUUAAACAAAUGCUACGUUCAGCAAAGAACAAGAGAGAUCCUUUCACCUCUGCAGGAGUCUGCCGUAUACCAUGCAGCUGUGGACAAAUCUACAUAGGGACCGCCAAAUGCAGUGCCCAAACACGAAUCAAGGAACAUGAAAGGCACUGCAGAGUAAUUCAACCAGAGAAGUCAGUCAUAGCAGAGCACUUGAUGAACCAACCUGGACAGAGCAUAUUAUUUGGGAACACAGAAAUGCUGGACCACUCUAACAACUACCAUGUCAGACUACAGAGAGUAGCCACUGAAAUCCACAAGCAUGUGGACAAUUUCAACAGAAAGGAGGAAACCAUGAAAAUGAACAAAAUCUGGCUACUAGUAUUAAAAAAACUCUAAAAUCAGGAUAGUAAAUAAAGAACACCACUCAAAAAAAAUUCCAGGCAUGAAACAAUCAGGGCUAGUUAACACCACCCAACAAAGGAUUCUCCCAGGCAGUAAGCAGCCAGACCUUGAAGCUGAAUAGCUAUUUAAUGCUAAUCAAUGUGGCCAAUUGCAACAUUCACACUUGCCUCAAAUGGACAAGAGUUCCUGCUCCCACCCUGAAUAUUCCACAGAUAUAUAAACCUCUAUUGUCUACUUUCCAACAGACCUCACAACCUCUGAGGAUGCCUGCCAUAGAUGCAGGCAAAACAUCAGACAAUAAUGCUUCUAGAAUAUGGUCAUACAGCCUGGAAAAUUCACAGCAACCCAUUUCAUUAAUAUCUUUUUUUAAUAUAAUCAAAAUAUAUAUUUCCAGUUCAAUAACAGUUACUUUGCUUAAACAAAUUAAUAACCAAAAGGCAUCCUUUUUCAGCUAUGCUUCAUUUGACUUCAGCAGCUCCUUUUCUUUUCUCCUUCCUUAGUAACCAUUUUCAAAUGAAACCACAUAGUUUAGUUGAUUUUCUAUUGUAUGAAGAAACUCAAUACGUAUCUACUCAGUAUCACCAUGUUCAGUAGAGCUCAUUUCCAGCUAAGAAAGUAUAAGAUUGCAUCUUACAACUUCACUGCUUUAAAAAAUUCUGUCAAAUUUAUGUCAGUAUAUGUAGCAUGUGAUUUCAUUUUAAAUCUGCAAUACCUGUAAUAAACAAAGUUAAGAUUUCAAAGAUGUCUUUGUCUACCAGGAGAAAUUUCAGAUAAUUUGCCUCCUCCUGCAUGUGUGUGUGUGUGUAUUUUUUAAAAAAUAAUGUCCUCACAUUACUUGGACACUGUCACCCUUGGAUGAACUUCAGCAAACCAUAAAUGACUUGGUACUGUACAGAAUAACAAGCCUAUUGUGAGCUGGGAAUGGAAGCAGCUGAAUGGAUCUUUUGUAGCUGUAAGUACAGGUAGCAUUACAAUAUUACAUUUAAUUUGACUUCCACAGAUGUUUCUGAUGAAAAUGUGAUAAUGUAACCAUUCUAAUAGUAAAUAACAUUUCACAGAGCUAGAGAAGGCCUCAAAGGUAUUUAGUGCAAUAUACUACCCUCCUUCUACGGCUAUCAUUUGGAACAGAAAUCCCCAAACUUAUUCUCUUUUGUGAUUCAGUCUCAAAUUACAAAUUAUUUGUAAUUAACACAAUAAUGAGGAUAUAACAAUUCUAACUUUAAAAUAAGUAUAAAAAUAACUAGAACUUACUAUCACUCAUUUAAAAUGUAAUGAUAAUAUGAGUUACUUUUAUAACGUAAAGUCUCACUUAUCCAACAUAAACAGGCCAGCAGAAUGUUGGAUAAAUGAAAAUGUCAGAUAAUAUGGAGGCUUUUGGGAGUCGAAGUCCUUAUCUCUAUCCUGGCAGAGAUCAGUGGUAAGAGUGUUUGGUAUUGCAGACACAAGGAGAGAACUCACUCGCCACUGAUGGGGGAAAAAGCAACAAACAAGGAAUUGUAAUGAAAAGGUAGAUAGUACACUUGCACAAAUCCUCAAGACAACUGCCUACCUUCAUUUUUUUCUUUCCUCUUCCCAUAUUUCCUACAAACUCCCACAUAGCUACAGCCCCUCCUUUCAACUCGGACUGAACCAUUGCUGUUAGCGGAGCGGGGGAAAGAGAGGCAGAACCAUUAUGCUCUGGCUCCUCUGGAGUCUGCACAGUGGUACUGCCCAAAAUGGGGAAUGAAGGAAGAAAUGAAAAACAUGACUUCUAAAGGGAAAAUGCUGGAGGAAAAAGGGGGGUGUUGGAUAAGAUAUCUGAAAAGACAAAAGGUUGGAUAAGUGAGACUCUACAGUAGUUAUUUAUUUAUUUAUUUGCGGCAAUUCUACCCCACCUUUCUCAAUCCCGAAGGGGACUCAAGGUGGCUUUACAACAUAGGCGACAAUUCAAUGCCUUUAAAAAACAGUAGACAAUAAAAAAACAUUUAAAAUAGAGUUAUAAAACAAUUAAAAGCAUUUAACACAAUACAAAAUAUUGUCUCACUAAAUGGGGAAGAAUAAUCAUUACAUGGUUAACAUUUUGGCUUAUGUGGUGCUUUUUGCUGCUAUCCCAUGAUGUCUUAUAAAUGUUGUGGCAACAAUGAGGUACACUGGAGUGCAAUAUGUGGCUUGGAACAUUUGGAUAUGUUAUUCAAAGUGAUUAAAAAGCAGCUAUUUAAUUUCUGCACAUCUUCUAGUAUGUCAGGUACAGCUUAGGAAGCAUGGUUGAGGAGAAGCUAGUGAAAGGCUCAGCAUAGAGCUGGAGCCCAGCUGUGCCCAGCAGCUCCCUAAGCCAUGCUCUGAAGCAACAUCCAUGGAGCUAGUAUUCCUCAGCCUGCCGAGGAACUGUUAACUGUUCCAGCUUUAGUGGACUUGCAAAAAAAAAGUAUCAGCUUCUCAGGUCUUUAAAAUUGGCUGAGAAGAGAGCCAGCAACAGGUAACACCUGUGAUCUUAGGAUUUAAGGAACUGAAGACUGGUAUCUAGUUGCUGGUGACAACAUCAGUUGUAGAAGCUAUAACCCAGGAGUCUUGAUAUCAUAUGUUUUCUGAACUCGGGACCUCGCUUAUGGACUCCGAUUCCACCUUGUUCUCAGGACACUUUGGUAAUCAACUCAUGGCCCUAGAAUGAACAUUUUGAUUUUCUCUUGUGUUAUUCUGUUGAUGCUUGCCUCUUUGUUGGAUUAUUGACUUGACCUUGGACUUUGAUUUAUGCUCUGCUGGUAUUUGAGGGUCGAGGCUUUGACACAGUGUUCCAAUUUGCCAGGGAGAUUUACAAUUAAUCAUCUAUUGUCCAAUUUUCUCAGCUAGUUUUUAAAAACCCCAGCUUCUCUUUCCUCCUCUUACUUUUUCCCUUUGUCCUUAUUUAACUCUGUGGUAUACUGGUUUUGUACCCUAUUUAUUCAAAGAGGAAAGAGAAGAACCAAAAUGUGCUCUUUUCUUAGGCUCAUGGGAGGGAAGACCUUUAAAGUAGAACCAAGAAGGACUGGGGUGGCCCUACACAACCACAUAAAAUGGUGCAAGAUUUGGAUUUUCCCCUGAGUUAUAUUAACCUGAGGUGCAGCCACAUUAAGCGAAUUCCCCAGGUUAAUCUGAAUGAGUCCACAUGCAUUUUGUGAUGCCAGCAGGCUGAUCCAUCCCCAUAACAAUUUAAAUGGUCAAUGUAGAUGAAGCCUAACAAACCUUUUUCGGCUGUAAACUAUAUAAUUAAUGAAGUGUGAUACUACUUUAACUUCCAGUGCUAUGGAUUCCUGGGAGUUGUGGAUUGAUGAAACACCAGCACUGUUUGGCAGAGUAGGCAAAAAACUAAAACUCUUAUGGUUCCAUAGCAUUGAGACAUGGCAGUUAAAAUGUCCAGCUGCCUUAAUUCUACUAUGUAAAUGCACAUAUUGUUACAUCUGUGUGAUGUCUCCUGCCUCAACCCACUCACCUCCUGGCAGCCUCUUUGUGGGAUAAGGUCAUAUGUCUCAAAUCUGCUUGCACCUGCUUGGCUGCUGGGAGAAUCAGGAUGCUUGUGUCAACCUUCAGAGGACUUCAGGUCUGGGGGUUCUUUUAAUCUAAAUAAAUGUUUUAAUUAUGAAACAGUAGCAACAAGUGCAACGUGGCAACAAAAUACUUCAGUGUGUGUCCUUCAUCCUAAAAAACAGAGCACUUGUGUUCCUAGAUUAUAUUCUAGCAUUAUGUACAGCCCUCCCUUGUCCUGGAUUCUUUUUCCUCUUUCAGUUCAUCACUCUACAUUCCAUGCUUAUUCCCCAGUGAACUGAAAGUAUAGAGGAAUUAAUUCCUUGCAUCAGAUCAUUAUUAUUAUUAUUAUUAUUAUUAUUAUUAUUAUUAUUAUUAUUAUUAUUAUUAUCAUCAUCAUCAUCAUUUCUAGUAAUAAGAAUUUGUUGUUAUGGGGUUGUGCUGCAAACCUGCAGUCAUUAUCAUUUCCUAUCAUGAUCAUUAUCGCUUAACAUGCUGCUGAGAUGCAGCAUGCAUGGAACAAAUAUGGAACCCUGCCAGAAGUAGCCUUGUGUCAUGUGUUGGGCUUUGGUGGGCUACGUCCUGGCUGCAUCUCGGUAGCAUCCUAGGACAGGGCUUAAAGCCCAUGUGUUUAGUCCUAAGUCCCCAUCUACACUAGGUAUGUGCAUUUCAGCAGAACCUUUAGCCAUUUCUGCUAUUCGGAUUGUGGGGGCCUGUGGAUCCAUUUUUGUGUGCCUCCCGAAAAUAAGUGGAUGCCCAAAUGGGCGUUUUCAGUCCAUAGCCAAAACAUACAGAUAGAUCUUUCCCAUUGGCAGCAAUUGGGGGCUUCAUGGGCUCCUCUUCCCAUCAUUUUUAGGGCUAUGAGGAUGAAAAUGGCUACACUUGGAGGACACAUCUACCACAGCUGGCCCAUCAUGUUUCAUAAUGUUUGAGUCAUCCCCUGAAUUUUAGGAAUUUAUUUUCUUUCUAGAAAUAAAAUCACCUUAAAAAUUCCAAAAAGGUAUCCUCUGCUGUCCCUGCCUGUAACUUCUGCAGGAGCAGCAGCAGGGCACCAUUCCUUCCUUCCAAAUGUCAAAGAUGCACUUCCACAUCACACAGCCCACUAUUACAUACUCUUUACUAAUUAAAAAAAACAGUAACUUCUUCCAAAGCUUUUGCAAUUUGCAUUUCUUGUUCUCACCACAUCCUGGAAAAGGCCAGCAGCCCACCAUCUACAAGCAAGCAAGCAGCAAGUCCCCUUAUUAGAAAAACACUCCUGUAUAAUCCAGAAAUUAUUAGAUAUUGGUGUUAAGUUUAGGUAGGGAUGUAGGUAGUUUUUCUGAGAAUGAGGCUUUGCUGUUUGCUGUAAUCCUAUAAUUUUAAUAACAAUCUUUUAAAAGUAUUUUCUGAAAGAGAGGAGGGAGGAGAGAUAAGGGAAGAAGCUAAAGGCUUUAGUAAAGGCCAAAGGGUGACUAAAAUUCAGAGCCACCCUAAAACCCAUUUUCACAUUUUUCCAAUAAAACUCCAUGCCACUGCAAAUCUGCUUUUAUUUUAUUUUUAAUGGUAAAAAUUUGUUUUUCACAAAUCCAUUUUUUUCAUCAAAAAUUAAAUCCAUAGCUCAAUAUGUAAAGUUUUAGUCACAUCCCGUUUGGAUUACUGCAAUGCUUUCUAUGUGGGGUUGCCUUUGAAUAUAGUUUGGAAGUUUCAGCUGGUUCAGAGAUCAGCAGCCAGGUUACUGACUGGAACGCCGUACAGAGAGCGAAGAACUCCUAUGUUAUGGCAGCUCCACUGGCUGCCAGUCUAUUUCUGCACUAAAUACAAAGUGCUGGUCAUUACUUAUAAAGCCCUAAAUGGUUCGGGUCCAGGCUAUUUGAUAUCCCGCAUCCCUGUCUAUAAACCUGUUUGGACUUUGCGAUCAUCAGAGGGGGCCCUCCUCUCGGUCCCACCCCUGCUUGAAACAGAGACAAGAGAAGGGGCUUUCUUCAUGGUCACCGCUCUGAAACCCUCUCCCAAAAGAAAUUAGAACAGCCCCACAUUACUUUCAUUCAAGAUAGGGCUAACUGCUCACUUGCUUAUGGAGAGAAGGAUGAGUUACAUCACUGACUCUUUCAUGGAUGAAGCUGACAAUGAUUAUUUUAUUGUAAUUUAUUGAAGAGCUAUAUUUUUACAUCUUAUACAGUUUUAACUGUCUGUUUGUUCCUUGAUGCUUGACUGUUUGACUCAUUUUAUUAGCCAGUGUCUUUUAAUUUGUUUUAAUUAUAUGUAUAAAUGUAUUAAUGUUUUUUGAUGUUUAAUGUUUGCCAAUUUUAUGUUUUAUGGUUGGAAGCUGUCCUGAUUCCUUUGGGGAGAAAGGGCGGGUUAAAAUAAACACACACACACACACACACACACACACACACACACACACACAUAUAUAUAUAUAUUUCAAGCCAUAUGUUGAAUCUGUGAUCUUUUGUCUGAAAAAACCUCAGCAUCCUAUUUUGAAGUAUUGAUCCAUAAAUUACAAGGGGAGGCAUUCUGCAUCAUCCAGUUUCAUAUGGAUCAUAGAGAAUGAGCCAGCAUAUAGAAAUGAUGGUGAAGGGCAAAAUUUGCAUGUUUAUAAGGGGUUAGUGAGAAAAUCACAGGAGAAGCAGUUUCUGUUAUUAUUCAUCAUCAUCAUCCAGCUUGUCAGCCCUGUUGUCCUAUGCUAUGGACAACAACCAGAUAUGCAGAUAUCCAAUUAGUAUAGUAUUCUCAGAAAUUGAGAAUUCAUAUCUUUUGAUCUUGUAAAAUUUGCAAAAAUAGCACAAUGAGAUAAAAACCAGGCUCAUUCAUCAGAGCUUCUUGGUCCAAGAAAACUUCCAAAUCCAUAUAGAGAAUCCAAAUCUAGCAGCGAUUCUCAGUUAGAUUAUCUCAACAAGCAAGCACUUUAAACAUCUGCCUGAAUGUCUAUAUGUAUUGUAUUAAAUAAAUAUAGAAAUUAUAUUAUUUUAUAUUACAUUAAAUAAAUGUACAAGUCUGUAGAGAUGCAAGACACCCCCCCCCCACACACACACACACACACACCUCAGAUUUCCCAUGGUUAAGCAAGUGUGGAAAUUUUGCAUUUGUCCAUUUAUUUUUUGUAUUUACUUAUAUAUUUAUGGCAUUUAUUUAUAGUAUUUAAUUAUCACUUUUUUGCCUGCAGGGCCCUUUCUCAUUUCAGUUCCUGUAUAGGUGCUAAAUCUAUGUAAUAAUUAAGUUAGACAUGUAAGGUGAACAAAUAAUCAAUAUUGUAAAAUUCCCAUUUUCCUGUAGGUUCUGUACUUCAUAUGGGUUAAGUUAUUGCAUGGCUUUGUUCUCUCUCUCCAAUCCUUUUUUGUGUGAUUUAAAUCAGCCUUCUGGAAAGUUGGCUUAAGCAACAGUGAUCCUCUGCUAAAAUUAACAAAACUCAAGAAUAUCCUACCAGAUCUUGUUCUUUUAUUUCAAACUCUUUCCAUCUGCUACAAAAUUCCUCUUUUGGGGGAAAAAAUGUAUUACAGGUCCCCUCCUUCAUUCAUAUUGACCUUUUCACAAUGGGAAUGUAUCUGCUUUAAUUAACUGAUUACUUGAUUGUUAUUGAUGGCUGCCGAUAACAUUCCGGGCCCAAUUCAAGGUGCAGGUUAUUACCUAUAAAGCUCGAAAUGGUUUGGGACCUGCCUAUCUUUGUGACCAUGUCGUCCUUUAUGAACCUGCGCGAUCUCUAAGAUCCUCCGGGGAGGCCCUCCUCUUGCUUCCAUCUUCCUCACAAUUACGUCUGGUGGGGACAAGAGAGAGGGGCUUCUCGGCCAUCCUCCCCCCCAACUCUGGAACUCCCUCCCCAGGGAGAUUAGGUUAGCUCCCUCUCUGUUUAAAAGCCUCCAAAGUAAUAAUUAUUAUUUGAUACACAAGAUUAGUACACAGCAAACGAGAUUAGUUUGCUCACUGUUGUAUUGGACCACACAUCGGACACUUCCCAAAUGGCUAGGACUAUGUGAUGUUUUGGCAAAUAAUGCAUGCAGAUUCAAGUAGGAUGGCCUUUUGUAGUUGACAAAUGGUAAUUUUGUCAGCAUCAAUUGUUUUCAAGUGCCGGUCAAGGUCUUCAGGUACUGCACCCAGUGUGCUGAUCACCACUGGGACCACCUUUACUGGCUUGUGCCAGAGUCUUUGCAGUUUGAUCUUUAAAUCCUCAUAUUGCAUCAGCUUUUCCAGUUGCUUCUCGUCAAUUCUGCUGUUACCUGAGAUUGCAACAUUGAUGAUCCAUACUUUGUUUUUUUAACACAAUUAUGAGGUCAAGAAUAUUGUGCUCUAAAACUCUGUCAAUCUGAAUUCAGAAGUCCCAGAGAAGUUAUACGUUUUCAUUUUCUGUAACUUUUUCAGGCAAAGUCGCUCUGAUCCGCUCUGGCUUUGACACCAUAUUAACGGCAGUCUCCAAGGAUGUAACAUGAGCACCUGCUUGUCCUAUUUUGAUGCAUUCUUUUCAACUGGUUCAGCCUGAGGAUGUGGUCAAGGUGCUUGGAGAGGUGAGGGCUACCACAUGCAUCCUAGACCCCUGCCCAUCCUGGCUGGUGAGAGAAGCCAGAGAGGGUUUGGCCGAAUGGGUGAAAGUGGUGGUGAAUGCCUUCCUUCGGGAAGGCAUUUUUCCAGCGAGCCUUAAAUUGGCUGUUAUCAAACCGCUGUUGAAGAAGCCAUCACUGGACCCCACUCAAUUCAAUAACUUUCGGCCCAUUUCCAAUCUCCCCUUUUUGGGCAAAGUCAUGGAACGUGUGGUGGCCGCACAACUCCAGGCAUUCUUGGUUGACACUGAUUUUCUAGAUCCGGCGCAGUCUGGCUUCAGGCCAGGGCAUGGUACCGAGACAGCCUUGGUCGCAUUAGUCGAUGAUCUACGCUGGGAACUGGACAGGGGGAGUGUCCCUGCUGGUUCUUCUGGACCUCUCAGCGCCUUCGAUAUCGUUGAUCACGGUAUCCUUCUGGUGCACCUUGCCAAGAUGGGUCUCAGGCACUGUUUUGCAGUGGCUCCAGUCCUUCCUGGAAGGUCGGUCCCAGAUGGUGUCAUUGGGGGACACCUUCUCGGCCCCACAACCAAUGUCUUGUGGGGUCCCGCAAGGAUAAGUACUGUCCCCCAUGCUGUUUAACAUAUACAUGAAGCCGCUGGGAGAGAUCAUCCGGAGUUUCGGGGUGAGGUGUCAUCUGUACGCAGAUGAUGUCCAGCUCUGUCACUCCUUCCCACCUGUCACUAAGGAGGCUGUUCAGGUCCUGAACCGGUGUCUGGCAACAGUGUCGGACUGCAUGAGGGCGAACAAAUUGAAACUCAAUCCAGACAAGACGGAGGUCCUCCUGGUCAGUUGUAGGGCCGAACAGGGUAUAGGGUUACAGCCUGUGUUGGACAGGGUCGCACUCCCACUGAAGACACAAGUUCUCAGUCUGGGGGUUCUACUGGACUCGUCGCUAAGCCUGAAGCCCCAGGUUUCGGCGGUGGCCAGGGGAGCUUUCGCACAACUAAGACUUGUGCGCCAGCUGCGCCCAUACCUUGGGAAGUCUGACUUGGCCAUGGUGAUCCACACUCUGGUUACAUCCCGUUUGGAUUACUGCAACGUGCUCUAUGUGGGGCUGCCUUUGAAGAUGGCCUGGAAGCUCCAACUAGUACAAUGAGCGGCAGCCAAGCUUAUAACUGGAGCAGCGUACAGGGAACACACCACCCCUCUGUUGUGUCAGCUCCACUGGCUGCCAAUAUGCUACCGAGCCCAAUUCAAAGUGCCGGUCUUGGCCUACAAAGCCCUAAACGGUUCCGGUCCAACUUACCUAUCCAAAUGUAUCUCCUCCUAUGAGCCUGUGAGAACUUUAAGAUCAUCUGGAGAGGUCCUGCUCUCGGUCCCACCUGCCUCACAAGUGCAGCUGGUGGGGACAAGAGACAGGGCCUUCUCAGUGGUGGCUCCUCGGCUGUGGAACUCCCUCCCCCCAGUGAUAUCCGGCAGGCCCCAUCCCUUCUGAGUUUUAGGGAAAAGGUGAAGACCUGGCUUUGUGAGCAAGCGUUUAAUGAAUGAACUAUGUUGGCUUUGAUUCGGUCUGGAUUAAGGUUUACGUGCAAGGUUUUUGUGGACAAAUUGUUUAAGUAUUUUUAUUGUACUCUUUUAUAUGUAUUUAUUGUAUUAUGCUAAAUUGAUUGUUUUAAUUGCUUAUGUUUUAUCUUUUGUACUGUAUACCGGCAUUGAAUUUUGCCAGAUUGUGAGCUGCCCUGAGUCCCUUCGGGUAAGAAGGGCGGCAUAGAAAUAAUGGAAAUAAAUAAAUAAAUAAAUAAAUUGCGA